UUUUCUUUUUUUUUUCUUUUGUUUUUUCAUCUUUUAAUUUUUUGGACAAAAUUUGACAAAAAGCAUAAAUGACGAAGAUUCUGUUAUCCUAAGAGCACUUUCUUUUGAUAUCAAUAGUAAUAUUUUUGAAGAUUUAAAAAUUUAAUUAGGUUGUGACUAAUCAAGAAUUUUUAAUGAAAAUAAAAAAUUGAAAAUAGAAUGCAAAAAGACACAUUGAUUUGGAAUAUUAUAUUUUGUUUAUUCUCUUCAUAAUUCAAAUUUAAUUAAGGUUAUAGUUUUUUCGUAACUGCUACAGUUUUGCUAUUAUUGAAAUGCAAUAAAUCUAAUUAUUAGGAAGAAUGGUAUUUUGGACGAAUAGAAAACAAAGACCAAAUCCUGCUUAGUCUCUCUUAACAUUUUGUCUUGUCAUCAACCAUUAUUUUCCUUUAAAUCAAUAGCUAUGAUGUAAUGAAUUUUAAUCAUCAUAAUAAAUUAAAAACUAAAAAAAGCAAAAUAUGAAACAUCAAUCAUCAAUUAAUAAGGGCAUAAUUAUAUUAAUAAAAACUAAGAUCACAACAAUCAUCAUAAAAAAUUAAAGAGAGUAUAAUAUGAAGCUUCAAUCAUCAAUUAAUAAGGUUAUAAUUGUAACAACAAAAACUAAGAUAACUUACCCUUACCGUCCAAACUCAUGGUACCUUUUAUGUAAUAAAUAUAUAGUAUGAAGAGAUGUAUAUUUUUUAAAAUUGAACUCUUUGUAUUAUUUUGUGUGUUAUUUCUAUAUCAUUUAGGCCAUAAUCUAUGGGUCUGUUUGGAUUCCUUGUUUUUGGAUCUGUUUUUGAAAAAUUGUUUUUCACAUUCCAAAUGCUACAGUAAAUGUGUAUUUCAAAACCAACUCCAAAAAUAUCAUAUCCAAACAAUAUAUCAAAAAUAACUCCAAAUACAUAUUUAAUAUGUUUAUUUCAAUUUGUAUAUUUCAAUUAUGUAUAGGAUAUAUAUAUUAUAUUAAUUUAUACAAAUUAUAAAUAUUUUAUUAUAUAUAAAAUAUAUUUAUAAUAUAUUUAUAUAAAUAUUAUAUAUUAUAUAAAUUAUAUAUAAUAUAAAUCUAAUUAUACAUUUAUAUAAAUAUUAUAUAUUAUAUACUAUAUAUUUAAUAUAUACAUAAUAUAUAUUAUAAAUUUAUAUAAAUGUACAUUUAUACAUAAUAUAUAUAUUUAUGAAUAUUUAUAAUAUACAUUUAUAUUAUGUAUAAUAUAUAAUAUAAUACAUUUAUAUAUUUAUAUUAAUAUACAUAAUAUUAAUUAUACAUUUAUACAAAAUAUUAAUAUAUUUAUACAUUUAUAUUUAUUAUAUUAGUACAUCUAUACAUAAUAUUAAUAUAUAUUUAUAAUAUAUUAAUUUAUACAUUUAUAAUUUAUACAUAUUUAUAAUAAUAUACAUUUAUACAUUUAUAAAUAUAUUUAUAUUAUGUAUUAUAUAUAAUAUAAUACAUUUAUAUAUUUUUAUAUAAAUAUAUAAAUAUAUUUAUUUAUAAAUAUUUAUAAAUGUAUUAUAAAUGCAUAAAUGUAUAUAAAUAUAAAAAUUAUAAAUUAUAAAUUAUAAUAAACAUUUAUAUAAUAGUCAUUUAUAAUUUAUACAUUUGUAAUAAUAUACAUUUAUACAUUUAUAAAUAUAUUUAUAUUAUGUAUUAUAUAUAAUAUAAUACAUUUAUAUUUUUUAUAUAAAUAUAUAAAUAUAUUUAUUUAUAAAUAUUUAUAAAUGUAUUAUAAAUGCAUAAAUGUAUAUAAAUAUAAAAAUUAUUAAUUAUUAAUUAUAAUAUACAUUUAUAUAAUAUUUAUUUAUACUUUAUACAUUUAUAAUAAUAUACAUUUAUACAUUUAUAAAUAUAUUUAUGUUAUGUAUUAUAUAUAAUAUAAUACAUUUAUAUAUUUUUAUAUAAAUAUAUAAAUAUAUUUAUUGAUAAAUGUAAUAUAAAUGCAUAAAUGUAUAUAAAUAUAAAAAUUAUAAUUUAUACAUUUAUAUAAUAUUCAUUUAUAAUAAUAUACAUUUAUACAUUUAUAAAUAUAUUUAUAUUAUGUAUUAUAUAUAGUAUAAUACAUUUAUAUAUUUUUAUAUAAAUAUAUAAAUAUAUUUAUUUAUAAAUGUAUUAUAAAUGUAUAAAUGUAUAUUGUUCUAAAAAUAUAAAAAUUACAAAUUAUAAAAUAAUCGAAAAUAUUUUUAAAAAUACAUCUAAAAAUAACCCAUAAAACAUCUGCAGUAAAAGUUUUUCAUAUAGUUUUUGAAAAACAACACCAAAAACAUCUAAUCCAAACGGACUUAUAUUUGAAAAGGACUUAUAUUUGAAAAACGAAAUGCUACAGUAUUGUUUUUGAAAAAUAACCCCAAAAAUAACUAAUCUAAACGGAUCCUAUAUCAUUUAGGAGUCUUCGAUCAAGAAAUAUUGAUGAAUUAAUGGUUGGUCUAAUUGCCUUGUCUCUUGGGCACUUGGGUCGUCAUCCGGUUGUAGAUUCAGGCAAAACAUAUGGAUACGAGUUCAGAAUUACUAAGAAAUGAAGUAACAUAUUUUUUAACAUUAAACACAUAUAAUUUUCUUAGACAUUUUUCCUUUCCCCUUUGAACAACCAUAUAUUGUCAUUAACAUCCCCUUCAUUCUCUAAAGUUCAAAUAAUCAUUUUUACAACUUUAUCAGGAACUCUUUUUUUAUCGAAAUCGAUAAAUAACCCACACACACCCACCUAAUUUAAACAGAUGCAGGAGUUAAUUGAAAACCGACCUAAACUUUAUCAGGGGCUCUAUACUGCAAAUUUGUAGUUUCUAGUUACUCAAGAUCGGUGCCAACAUGUUUUAAUCAAUGUUUUGAAAACCGGACCGGACCGGCCGGUUCGACCGGUUGAACCGCGAAUCGGCCAUGGCACCGGUCCGGUUCAAUGGCAUUGUUGACUUUGCUAGAAAACCGGUCAAAGACCGGUUGAACCGUGAAAACCGCCGAACCGGAUUGAACCGGCGGUUUUCCGGUUUUCAGCUUUCCCCUUUUUUUUUUUUUUUAGUUUUGCAAAAUGCAGUAAUCAAGAUUCAAACCCAAGACCUUUGUAAUAAAAGACCAAUGUAUUAACCAUUGCACCAUUACAUCUUAUUAGUUUUUUUUGAUAACUUAUUUAUAUAAAGCAAACACUCAUAUUUCUUUUUUCCAUUUUUCUUACAAAAUCUCAUCCCCUCAUGGCUCUUUCUUUUUCAUUUUCAACUCUCUCUCUCUCUCUCUCUAUCCUCUUUUCUUUUGUCACUCCCUUUUUAAUCAAACCUCUUUAUUUUUAAUUUAUUGAUGUUUUCUUCCAUCUUUUAAUUUUGUUUUUGUCCAUUAAAUUGAAAAAAGUUAAAAAAGAAUUUUUUUAACCCAAAUUAUUUAAUGCCACAACCACUCACUUUUAUCUUAUUUUUUGUUUCUUAUCAAGUUUACAUUUCUAUUUUCGAUUUUCUUGAUUUCCUUCGAACUCCAAAUUUUCUUUUUUAAAUUGCAAUCUUUAAAUCUCAAAACGUAAAUUAAAAUUUAAAUUCAUAAUAUCUAAAUUCUCAGAGACAUGAAUUUUGUAUAAUUUCAAAAUAUUGUGAUAUUUUGGGGUUGGAUUUAGAUAUAAUUGAAAUUGAGAUGAAAUUUAUUUGUUUUAACUUAUAAUUUAAAAAAUUUAUUUUUAAAAAUCUAAGUUAUUAAAAAAUAGUAAACUUUUCAUCAUAUAAAAUAUUAAAUUAGUCCAUUACAUGCCUUAUUUUGUACAUAUAUAUAUAUUUAUAUAAAUUAUUUUUUAAAAAAUUCAUUGAACCGAGGUUGAACCGGUCCGACCGGUUGAACCUCGACCCUUUCACUCCACCGGUUCAAUUAACGGUCCGGUUUUUAAAACAUUGGUUUUAAUACCGACAAAUUCAUUAUUUCAGCAUUACAUGCCCCUAAACUCUCAACAAAUCCACUGGCAUAUUUAUUGAUAUUUUCCACUACAGCUACCCCACCAUGAUGGAUUACUUUUACCUGUCAAUGGAGAUGUACAGUCUAGGACCACAAAAGCAACAAGGCCAAACAAUUGGUAAAGAAACAGUCACAUGCCGUGGACCACAAAUAAUAAUUCAUAUUUAAGUCAAUGAAGGGCUACUUUUACCUGUUACAAACAUUAGACAUGUACAAUCUAGGACCAAUUUGUCUUAUACAAUAGGACCAUGAAAACAACAUGAAGGCUAAACAAAUAGUCACAUGCCGUGGACCACAAAUAAUAAUUCAUAUUCAACUCAAUUUUUGACCCACAUCAUGCCCAGACCAAUAAUCAUAAAAAUUGCACCAAACCUAAUACAAAUUAACACAACCUUGUCAUACUAAAAGUUAAACAUAUUGAUAUUUAUAGUUACUUCUUUUGUUUUUUCUUUUUUUAACAAAUAAAUUAUGAUAAUGCCACUGAAAUUAUUUGAUUUUUAAUUAGAUAUAUGAACAAUUUUUUUCGAGUUGGAUGACCUAAAUUUGCUCAGUUAGCAAAAAUUAAUUAUCUGCUAACCAUUAGGGUUUGCCCAGUGGCCAAAAGAAACCUAUAUAUUCAUGGUACUUGUUAUAUAAUAAUAAUAAUAAUGAAUUGUUAUUUUCUUGUAAAUCAAUAGAUAUGAUAUAAUGAAUUUUAAUCAUAAUAAAUUAAAAAGAGCAUAAUAUGAAAUUUCAAUCAUCAAUUAACAAGGGUAUAAUUGAAAAAAUAAAAACUAAGAUCACAAUGAUACUUACACUUACACUCCAAAGUAUCAAGACUCAUGAUACAUUUUAUAUGGUAAUGAUGAUUGGCACUAUUACAUAUCAACUCCAAGUUCAAAUUCUGGUAGAGAGAUUCUGUUUUGGGUCUCCCCCAGAUUUGGAUUGGAUAGGAAUAUUAAUUUUGUCUUACGCAAAUGUUGAUUCAUUUCAAUUGGAUACGAUUGCGGUCUUGAUAAACAACAAGCAUUUGAAUUCCAUCAGCUUCACAAUCUCACGCAAAGCAUUAUAAGAUAAAUUUGGCUAAUAAUAAUAGAUGUGCUUAAUAACACCUGACUACUUAUUGGCAUCAAUAUGCUGAACCUGCAUUCAAUCAUAGAAUGAAUAUACUUUCUGAUACGGUAAUGUACUUGUCAAAAUCUAGUUGAAUUGAGUAUAAUAAAUUCAUCACUCAAUCGAUUAGUUUCGAUCUUAAUGCAUCCAAGAAUUGGAACUACCAAUGGAUUCAGACAAAACUAUGUCUGGAUUAAAUAGAUUGAAAUAGGUUCUCGAAAACGAAAUCUACUUUUUCAUCUUAUAUGGGAUUUUUAGCUGGCAAAAUAGUGCGUGAAGUUAGCAUCAAAUAAAGUUAAGUUAACCAUGUUCUUAACCACCAUUUUGGUUCAACGAUCUGAAUCAAGGAGUUGAUUAGUCAACAUAUUGUAAAUGGGAGGGUUUAAACCUGGACCAUCCAACCCAGUGAACAGGCAAAUUUAAUUGGCAUUAAUCAUACUUAACUAUCAUUUAAGGAGCAGAUUGGCUUCUACCACAUGCAAUAUAUGGUAUAUCUUUAGCUCCAUCUGUAAUGCUUGCAUCCCACUCAAUGCGUCUUUGUCUUUUGAUAAAUUAUAUCAAUUUCAUUUUGAUUAAUAACCUCACACAAACCAUUAGCAAAAGAAGAAAAAAGGAUAAUCAUCAUGCUUUAGGUAUCUCAUUAGUACUCAAUCGUUGUAAUUAUUGGUCUAAUUCUUGGUCGUACUUCAAUUACUUUAGGAAAGGGCAAAUUGCAACAACAACGCGAAAUAACUUAGCGAAGAUAUAUCAUUUUCAGCUUUUCAUUUUUUGACGGGCAAAUUGCAAAUAUAUCCCUGAAGUACUUCACAUUUCAUUUUAGUUCCCAGAGAUCAAAAUAAUACAUCUUUGUGUUAAAGUUUUUAUAAGUUUACCGAAGUAGUCCUACAGUAUUCCUCAAGCUUUUCUUCUGAUUUUCAAGCACAAACAUUUACUUGUCAUACCUGCACUCAAGAGUAAUAUAUGCAAAAUCAAACUAAAAAUCAUAUCUAUCCAACAAAAAGUAAAGUAGUUUGUCUUCUCAAUUGUUUUUUGUCCAUUUUAGAAGAGAUUAUAAACUUACAAAGGGCAAGGAAUUAAACAGUAAAAGGGAAGACAUAAAAAUCGAAUUAAAGGCCUCAUUUUCUUUGGUCAAUGUCGCUACCAAUUGAGUUGGAUUUUUAAAAUGUUUGUCUUCUAAAGUUUGAUUCCUAUCGAUAUCUCAAUCUUUGUAUGUUGAUCAUUUAUGACUUUGUAACUUAAUAUCAAAAAGGGCAAAAUAUACUUUAUUUCCCUGUGGUACAACUACUUUUUUACAUAAGCCUCCCUAUAGUUUUGAAAGUUAUAUAUAAUUUCCUCAUAGUUUGGAUUAAAGUAUCAAAGUAACGGAAAUAAUCAUUUACAAUGAAACUUAUGAAAAUAUAAAAAUUACCCUUAUUUAAAAAUUAAAAUAGUUGAAGUGAUCAAAAUAUAUAAACAUAAUAUUAUAACACUCUAACCUUGUAUGGUUUUAUACUUUUCCUAUCGCGCCCUAUUUUUUGAAAUAAAAAAUUAUGAGUUAUAAAAAAUGAAUUUUCGAUUAAUUUUGAGUGAAAAUGAGUUUUUGAUUUUUAGAAAAUAAAUAAAAAAAGGCCUAAAAUGGGACCUAAGAAGUGCGACGGUUUUGACCCAAAAUAAUAGUCUAAAAAGGGUUUUUAGGAAAAAUAGGAGUCACCAAUUAGUAUUGAGUUAAGGUGUACCAAGUCAUCCAAAAAUAUGUCAUUUAAUAGUAAUAAAAAAAUAAAAAUAAAUAAACAAAACCUCUUUUUCGAUGACUCCAAGUCUUUGGAAACAAAAGAAAGGAUUCGGAAGUCACGGUUGAAGAAAGAAAAGACAAGCAUAAAAUUCAAGGCACCCUUUCGACCUAACUAAAGUUAGUUGCGAGAUUUAGUCCAAAAGUUUUCCUAAUCUAACCUAUAGACUUAUCACAUUGGGAUGUUUCUACAUGGAUGCACACCUAGACCUAAUGGAUAUCAGGAGGGUCGAAAUAUCUCUUCAAAGAUUAAUUGAUGCGAAUAACAUUAAUUGUGAUGCUCAAAAUGAUUUUUAGAAGAGGUCACGAAUAUGUAAAGAAUGAGACUCGAAAAAAAGAAAAAUUAUAAUAUAUAAGUAUGUUUGACCUAAAAAGAGGAAUGCAACAUAACGGGUACGGGGGACUAAGAUUCGUGACUCAAUUUUUUCUUUUUAUAAAGGAGAUACUAGCAUGCUAAAUCUAAGAAGCCCUACUCGUCCAUUUCCCAUAUUAGAAGGGUGCUCCCUAACCUAAUCAAGCAAAUGCCGUAACCUAUUUCUAAUUUUUCUUAAAUGGAAUGCAAGUCUAAAAUGUCAUGUUUCGCAAGAGGGAUAAGGGAUAUACAUAUAGAGGAAAUAUCUUGCAGAGUGGUAAAGAUCCUAAAAGUAGAAAAUAUGCAUGAAAUGUAAUGAUUGUUAUGCAAGCAUGUGAUUCUAGCGCGUGGAUGGAACAAAGAGUCUAGCAUUGGACUCGUGAGAAAUCGAGAAAAUAGACCACAAUUAGUGUUGGGCUAGUGUGGUGACGCCAUGCAUUUAUUACAACUAAAUAAAUCAUAUAAAAUAUAAUUAAAGCUAAUAAACACAUAGAGCACAUAACACGUAGGCAUGAUAUCUAGAUACAAAGAUCCUAAGAAAUUGAGUAAACAUAUAAGCACACAAGCAUCCAAGCAUCCAAGCAAAUAAAAGUCUAACUAUUACAUCUGGGGCUCUAAUUACAAUCUAAGGGGGAAUUUAAAAAAUAAUAACCUAACUAUUAUAUUUAUCUAACUAAAUACAUUUUUAACAAAAAUUAAAACCUAUCUAUUACAUAGGCUAACUAAAUACAUAUCUUGAGCACCUAUCUAUUACAAUUUGGCAUUUUAAUGCCUCUCAAAUAAUUACCAAAAAUUAAAUUAAAUAAAUGAAACCUAAAAUGAAUAAUAAUGAAUAAAAAGAAAAAAACACUCAAAACAUGCAAUUGCACAUAAAACACAUUGGAGCACAUAAAAGAAUUGAAAAUAAUAAAAGAAGUUACCUCCCUUAAAGUUGUGGUUAAAUGGGGUGAAAUUUGCCCUACUUAUGCUCCAAAAUCAACAAAAUGGUCAAGGCACCAAUUUAAUUAUAAAUAAAUGGAAAUAAUCAUAAAAUCUACCAAUUAAAUCAUUUAAAUAAAGUAUAAUUAACAAUUAAAGAAGAAAAGUAACUUGUAUUUAAGAAAUCAAAACUAUCAGGGAUUUAAAUGAAAAUUUUAUAAAGUUUUUGGGGUCCAAUUGUAAUUAUUACAAAUAUAGGGGUCAAAAUUAAAGAAAAACAAAGUUUUAGGGAUCCAUUUGAAAUUAAAUUAGAAACCUAAUUGAAAAUGUUAAAAGUUUAUGGGGUAUAGUAUCAUUACUCAAAGGUCUAGAGAUUGAUUUGCGAUUUCAUAACUAGAUUUCUUGAGUAAAGAGGCCUCUGGGCCAUAUCUCUUAUUUUUCGGGCAAAAACCUUCAAAGCCCAGCAAAAAGUUCAAGGAAAAUGCACAGGCCAAUCCAUAAUCUUACCCAAACAAAACCAACCAAAAGGGAUGGGCUUUUACCUCUUAAGCCCAAGCGAAAACCCAAAAAAUGAACCAGACUUUUCUACCAAAACCCAACCCAAUCAAACCGUAACCCAAAUUACCAACUAUUUUACCAAAUUCCAAUAAGAUAAUAAAUCAACUAAAACAAAUUAAGGUUUAAAUAUACCCCAAAUCACAGAAAUAACAUGCUUAGACAUGCACUUAAAAUAUGAAAAAGAGUAUUAAAACUCAAUAGGGACAAGAUUGGUUCAAUUACAAAGACUUUUGAGCCACAGUGUAAUUACUUAGAAAGUUAGGGGUUAAAAUGAAAUUUUUAAAAGUUUUGCAUGCAAAGCUUCAAGAAGCUUCUUUCUGCAACCAAAAGCUUCUUUCUGCAACUCCCGAAACUUAUUCAACCCAAGAAGACAGCCGCAACAUUCAUGCCAAAUUCACAGAAUCAUCAACUAAACCCAAUAAGAACCACAUCCCCACAAACAAACCACAGAACAACAUGGGAUUAAUUGCUCAAAAUCUCCCACUUCAGAUUUGCAGAUAGAAAGGAAAACAUACCACUUUCACUCAUUGAUUCCGAACAAAACCCCGAAGCACAGGGGGCGAUUUAAAGUGGGGGCACUGGGGACCUUAAAUUCCUAUAAUACAUCUACAAUUUUGACAUAAUUUUAAAGGUGUCUCCAGAAUUUUUUUUGGAAAAAAUGUGAAAGAAUGGGUCACAAAAUUUAUAUCAUUCACUUUCCUCCUCUAGUUCCCAUUUUCCCACCAACAGGGCCAAGUACCAAUUAUAUCAGUCAUUCCUUUUGGUUCCCACUCCCUAAGUUCCCUUUACUCCUGUGGUCUCCCAUUUCCCUUCACAACCGGCUUCUCUUCUUCCACACCCAAGCCAACUACUUUUUCUUUUUAUCACUUCAUCCAAUUAUCAUUUACUUCCUUUGUCCCCACUCCCCAAUUUCUCUUUCCUCAUCUGGCUCUCAGUUGUCCCCAUUCCCCAACAUACAUAUGAGAGCCAUUUUUUUUUUUCACAACCAAAGCUUGUUACUCUUUUUUUUUUUUUUAUCACUUUAUCCUAUUUAGAGAUUGCACCAGAAUCAAUUGAUCUUCUAGAACUUGGAUCCGCCACAUUUUGUAGCUCUUUUCAUCAACUUUAGAAGACCAUCAAAAUCAGGUUCUAAACAAUUACUUCUUAUUAUUAUUAUUUUAAAUUUGUUUGCAAAUAUAUUUCUAGAGCAUGAGACUAUUACUGUUUUAAAGAAAUUUGGAAAUUGAUUAGUUAAUGUAAUAACUAAUAAAUGGGUUAUUUGAUAAAUAUUUUAACUUGUGAAAUGGUGAUUUUAUGCAUGAGACUUUUUUUUUGCUUAAAAAAAUUAGAAAAAGAGUAGAAAAAAAAUUUUAGUGUUAUUUUUGCCCCCAUUAAGAUUUUUUUUUGGCUUUGCCCCUGCCGAAGCAUAACUUUGUUUAUGAACUACAAAGCUUGCAAAGAUAAUCAAGGACAAACAUUCACACUAACUUCCAAAUCUUGUCAUAUUUUAGUCAAACCAGAGGUAUCAGACCCAGCAAAAACAUAGAACCCGCACUAUAAACCCAUAAUCUAAAAGGAAGUUCUCUUUUGAUGAGUUAAAGAUCUUUUUUUUUUCUUUGUGAAUUGCAGCAAGAAAAGGAAAGAUUAAGAGUUACCUCCGGAUGCUAGUGCAGUCAAAAGAAAGCAAGGUGCUCCAAGAAAGUUGUGUGGAUUGCUGGAACGAAAACAGGAGCACUUUGCUGCAGAAAUUUCACCCUUGGCGAGCAGGCUGCUUUGAGCCGAAAUCACAGAGAUCUGGAAAUGUUUUUUCAAGAUGUUUUCUGAACAAAAGUUAUAGAUUUACCAACAUAGUGAGUGCAGAAACUGAAAUAGAACCUACAGGAUCAAGAACAAGAUCGGAUUUGGGCCUCAAAAUAGGCUUUUUCACCAACCCUGGCUCAUUUUCUAGAAAAAUUUCUGCUCCUUUUUUUUUCCUUUGUCUCCCUCAGUUUUCUCUCCCUUUUUGCUGUUUUUUUUUCACUCCUCGCCGCCUCCCCUCUCAAUCCCUUGUUAUCAGCCCUUUUUAUAUGAAAACCAACCUCCUAAAACCCUCAUCUAGAUGGUGGACAAAAAAACUGAUUUCUUUUGCAUUUUUAGGGCCCUUGAUCUUCAUGUUUUCUGGAUUCUUCUUGAUAAAUCUUGGAGAUGUGAUCUGGCCUUGUACUGAGGCAUGGAGGAAAGAAAAAAGAAUGCAAAAAGAAUCGAGUAAAAUGGGACAAAAUUGCAGCUGCAUAUUUGGUGCUGUGGCAUUGCUUCUGUACGAAGCUUGAAGGAAUAGCACGCGCGUGGGCAGAAAUUUUUUUUUUUUUUUUUUACAAAACUGACUUUUUUCAUUUUUCUUCUUUUGUUUCCUUUUCUUUUUCCGAUUUUUCUAAAAAAAGUGUUUUUUAUCAAGAAUAGAAAUGAAACAAAAUAAAUAAAAUUUAACUAAAAUGAACAAUAAUAGGAAUAAAAAUGAAGAAAAAAAUGGUAAAAUUUUAGUGUCUACAGCUUACCCCUCUUUGUCUAGAUUUCGCAGAAAUUCAAGACAAAGACAUAGACACCAAAUUACUUAUCUGUCUAUCUCAACUGUAAUUGAAACAACUACAUAAAUCUAAUAGAUUGAAAAAUCUAAACCUAAAAAAUAAAAAGAUUUGUGGGAUAAAAUCCAACCCCAACAAAAUAAAACGAUUGAAGAGAUAAAACCCAAACCCAACAAAAUAAAAACGGUCAGUGGAAUAAAACCAAACAUGCCGAGAUUGGUGGGAUAAAACCCAAAUCCAACAAAAUAAAAAUGAUCGUUGGAUAAAAUCCAAAUCCAACAAAAUAAAAACGGUCAGUGGGAUAAAACCCAAGCCCGUCGUGGUUGAUGGGAUAAAACCUAAAACCAACAAAAUAAAAAUGGUUGAUGACAUAAAACCUAAACCCGCCGAGAUUGGUGUGAUAAAACCCAAAUCUAGCAAAGUAAAAAUGGUCAGUGGGAUAAAAUCCAAACUCGCCGUGGUUGGUGGGAUAAAACCAAACCCAACAAAAUAAAAACGAUCGGUGAGAUAAAAUCCAAACCCGCUGAGGUUGGUGGGAUAAAAUCCAAACCCACUAUAGUUGGUGUGAUAAAAUUCAAACCCAACAAAAUAAAAAUGAUCGGUGGGAUAAAACCCAAACCCGCCGAAUUCGGUGGAAUAAAAUCCAAUCUCAACAAAAAAAAACAGUCGGUGGGAUAAAACUCAAACCCGCUGAUAUAAGUGGGAUAAAAUUCAAACUCAACAAAAUAAAACGGUUGGUGGGAUAUAAUCCAAUCCUAACAAAAUAAAAAGGGUCGGUGGGAUAAAACCCAGACCCGCCGAGGUUGGUGGGAUAAAAUCCAAACCCAACAAAAUAAAAACGGUCGAUGGGAUAAAAUUCAAGACCAACAAACUAUAAACGUCGGUGGAAUAAAACUCAAGUUCACCGAGAUUGGUGGGAUAAAACCCAAGCCCGUCGAGAUUGGUGGGAUAAAAUCCAAAUCUAACAAAAUAAAAGGGUUAGUGGGAUAAAAUCCGAGACUAAUACCUUACGUGGGAUAAAAUUCAAACCCAACAAAAUAAAGGGUUAGUGAGAUAAAACCCGAACCUAAUACCGUUAGUGGGAUAAAAUCCAAGUCUAACAAAAUAAAGGGUUAAUAGGAUAAAGUCCGAGUCUAACACCGUUGGUAGGAUAAAAUUCGAGUCCAACAAAAUAAAGGGUUAAUAGGAUAAAGUCCGAGUCUAACACCGUUAGUGGGAUAAAACCCGAGCCUAAUAAAAUAAAGGUUUAGUGGGAUAUAACCUGAUCCUAACACCAUUGAUGGGAUAAAACUCGAACCCAACAAAAUAAAAGGUUAGUAAGAUAAAACCCAAGUCUAACACCGUUAGUAGGAUAAAACCCGAUCUUAACAAAAUAAAGGGUUAGUGCUUGAAAGCAAAUCAUAAAUAGAUUUGAGAUCGCAUUUUUCAAAAUUUAUCCAGUGUAAGGCCUCUCUUCUUUUCUUUUGUGAUUGACGUUCAAAUUUGCAAGAUUCUAACUUGCGUUUUUUUAUCGAUUUCAGUCAUAAAUACCUACACCAAGGGAAUUUAACAUGCACUUGAAUUUUAUACAAAAUAUUUUUUUGCUUUAUUCUGAAAAGUGGUGAUAUCAAAUUCUGAACAAUAGGUUUGAAAGUAUAUUACUUGACUCUUGGACGAGAUCUCACAAAUAUGUUACAAAAAAUUUUCCCCCAGUAUGGAUCUAUUUUGCGAAAUCUCACAAAUAUAUUAUAAAAUUUGCCCCAAUAUGGGUCUAUUUUUAACUGCAAAAAUUUUGUUCGAAUGACUAUCCAUUUAUUUGAACAAAACAUGAAAAAUGUGUUUUCCUAAAAUUUGAAAAAUAAUCACAUACUACUAUGCAAUGUGAAGAAAUUUAAAUGUCAUGUUUAAAUUCAUGCAGAAGAUUUCAUGAUGAAUUUAUCAAAACAAUACCAAAUUACAAAAGAUUUCAUUCUCACUUUAGCAUCGGUGCUUAGGGUGGAAUGAUCACUUUUCUUAUUAGCUCAUCCUUUAGGACAAAACAAGUGGGUACUAUUUAUGAUUUUGAGGUGGCUCAGGGAGAUGGUAUGUCAGGAUCUGUCUUGUUUUUGUACCCAAAUUGUGUCAAAACCAUUUGAUAUCACAUCUUGGUGAUAUCAAAUAGUUCAUCACUCUUAUUUCUUGAGAAAGUUCAGUCAACAUAUAAGAUCUAUAGACUUGUAAUGUACGGGUCGAAACGAUAGCUAAACAAAUGGAAGCAGGUUAUGGCCUUAUGAUCACGAAUGAUUGAUAGAUUCCUUAGAGGCAUGAUCCUUUUUUUGAAUUGUCAUGAAAGAUAAGUCAACAAUGGAUUUUAUGAGCUUGUAAUGCGACUUGAAGACGAUAGUUAAAGAAAUAAGAUUUUCAAAGACAUUGUACUUAAGAUCGCAUUCCUUCCCAAAAAUUGCCCCAGUUUUGGACUCAAAACUCUGGAUUCUAUUUUGACUUUUAUCAUCAAUCACUAGAAGAUUCAGCAUUGAAUCUCUUUGUAGUUUUUUAUUUUCUCUAAUCUUUUUUUUCUUCACAUUUUCCUUUUUCUUCUUUUUUUUCAAUACCGAAAUACCAAAAAUGAUAGAAUUGAGAAUCCCUUAAUUUUUUAGAUUAUAGAUGCCCUCUCUUUUUUUUUUUUUCAAAAUUGGAGCCCAAAUAUUAAUGGUAGAAUCAAAUUCCCCCAACUUGUAGUUUCUCUUUCUUCUUUUUAAUUUUAGCAUUUUCGCUUUUUUUUUUUAAAAAAAAAAUUCUCCAAUCUCCUUCCCCAAUGUGGGGUGUGGUCAUAAGUGCUUUUGAAACGAACCACCCAUUUUAACUCAAAUGAGGGUGCAAAGGAUAAACACUAUUUAGAUAGUAGAAACGAUGCUCAAAGUAUCAUUUUUACUUCUCAUGACAACCAAAGUGAAGAAUAGCCCAUUGAGAGAAUCCAUUCCCUUUUUGACAUGCAAAAUUAUAAUCACCAAGACUCUUAUUUGAAACGAAAUUGUACUUUUGAAGGCUCAAAUAGGAGAGUAAAUGAUAAAAUCUGUAUAGAUAGAAAAACAAACGCUUAAAGUAUCAUUCCAAAUUCUAAAAAACAAACAAGAGUAAUAUAUAUUUUUACUUUCACUUAGAUGUGGAUUGAAUUUGGUUAGGUACAGUGGGCAUUUUCAAAGUAAGAAUAGGCCCACUCUGAAGUUUGUCAACCAAUGUGAUUGACUUUGAAAGCUUGAUAGAAGUGGGUAAUUUAUGAAUUGUAAAAUGAAAGAACAAAAGUAUCGUAGUUGGUCUUUUAAAACAAACUGCUUUUUUGGUUUCGAAUGCUCUUAUCGCAUAGUAUGGAUCACAAAUCUAGUGUAUGCAAAGAUUUUGCAAAGUUAAAACAUGCCCUUGUGAAUUUUCAGGCAAGAGGUAGAAAAAAUCUCAAUUUAGUUUUAUUUCUUAAAAUCUAUCAUGAAAUCUCCCAAUGAGCAAAUAAAGAAUGAGAUGUACAUGAAUAUAUACGAAACAAUAAUUGUCUAAAUGAAAAACUUCAUUAUUGCAAAUGUUUGAAACAAACUUUUUAUUCAACUAUAAUACAAGUCAAAGAAUACACUUUCAUAUAUACACACAGUUCUCUCCUUUUCUUUUGGGACACAAAUGUGUUAAAAGAAAUUUUUUUUUUGACAAACAAUUAUGAACUCUCUCAGAUGCUUUAGAUUAGUACUUCCAAAUGGAUUCUCAAUAUUUUUACAUUGCAGGAUCUGCCCAAGAAUCAAGUAAUAUUUGUUAUUUUUCAAAAUUUAUCAAUCCAAAAUUAUUAUCAGAUAUAAAAAAAAUAUUUUUAUGUUAUUAAAAUAUCCUUUAUAAAUGCAAGGGAUGGGCAAAAAGAAAAGAAAAUUACCCAGAAUUAGUAAGCAAAAUGUAAAAUCGGUAUGCAUGUCCUAUAGGAGAGCCCUUUUAUACCAAGGGUAGGCCUAGCAUAAAAAAUGCAAUCCUUUGGGGUAGGCACCAUACAAUACCUAAUGGAUACAAUACCUAAUGGAUCUGGUCAAAUUAUUGAUAUUCAAGUGAAAAGCAAUUUGAAAAAUUUUGGCUAAUUGGAGUAACAAGAGACAUUUGUCCUAACAAAAUGAGGACAAAGUUCGAAUAGAUUGAUUGCUUUGAUUGACACAUAAAGUGAUGUUAAAAAUCAAUUUAGUGUGAAAGAGCUUACUUUUCAAAAGAUUGCAAUGUCUCGACUAGUUUUUAUAGUGAUCCAUAGAUCGAAACCUUAAAAGAGAAUAAAUGGAUCAAAUGGGUCGGAUACAAUUGAUGGUUUAUUCAAAAAAUUGACUGGAUUACCCUAAAAAUGAAUAACUUGAUCAAAUGGAUUGAACGGAACUGACGAUUUAUUCAAAAUUGACUGGAUUGUCCUAAAAAUGAAUAAUUGGUAAAAUGGAUUAGAUAGAAUUGACAGUUUAUUCGAAAAUCAACUGAAUUGUCCGUCCAUUGGUAGUCUCAAAAUUUUACAAAUUUCGUUACAAUGCAUUAGUCUAUGAGCCUUCUAAAAUCAGGAUUUGACCUCGAUAUAUUUAUUAUUUUAACAAUGAGGAAUCAUUUGCGAAUUUCUUCAACUUAAUGUCUUUUAUGCUAGGAAAUUUUACCAACUAUGAUAAAAUGGCCAAAAGAUGAUUGUUAGAUGCUCAUAUUCUAAUGUGCAAAAACUGUUCCAUUAUUUUCAAUGCCAAUGUCAUCAUGGAAGGGACUGGAUCCUACCUUACCUUGUGCACUAUCCCUUUGGAUGAUACGAAAAAAUAUAAACGUGCAAGUUUUAUUAAAUUAUAUAUCCGAGAUGAAGAUGGUUUAUUUCUAAUGUGGGAUCCCCUAUGCGACAUUCCCUCUAUGAUUGAUGCAUGAUGACAGAUUAUUAAAGGGGGUAAAUGCAAUAAUUGAAACAUGACCUAAAAGUGUCCCAUUUAAAUGCCGGGGUAAGCCCAAAAUGAUGCGUAAUAUUGAGGUGCAAUAACUUGUAAUUUAAACAUGCAAUAAACUAUCUAAUUAGGUGGGUUUUUAAAAGAGUACCAUGACAGGACUCUUAUUAUUUAAAGUUUGUGAAUGCACAAGAAGAGAAAACAAAGAGAAAUUAGUACAACAAAUAACACAUAACACAUUAGGGCAAUAAAUGAUACAAAAAUAGAAAUAAAGAAAAAGGGGUAGAAUCCCUCCCCUCGUGUCUAGUGUCCCUAGUUGGGUAAGGUCGACUCUAUCCUAGGUAAUUUCUAAUAUGGAUGCAUGAGGUUGGGUUCACUAAUGCAUCUAGACUCGAUAAGAUUUCAGCCUCCCAAACCUUCAAACCAAAAGGUGAAGGGUCAUAAAUCCCAAGACCUUUAGUCGGUGGUUCGAGUGAUCCCUCGGACAUUGCUACACGCACGUCGUGCCACAACCACAUGUCCAAGUGGAUCAAUCCUAAUCCUAAUAGAGAGGAACGGUGUGACAACCACUAAAAAGAAAUAAGAUGAGAGGUUAUAAAGAAAUAGCGUAUGCACGUAUGAAGUGCGCCUUUGAGGGGAGGGAUUAACUACCAUCAAAUAUGGGUGAAAGCUCUAGGGUGGCUAUUCCCCCCCAAGAUGCAAAGCGCGAUAUAAAUACAUAAACAUAAGUAAAUGAAAGUAAAUAAACAAAUUAUUCAUCACAUACAUAGAUAUCAAAAGACCAUUGCGCGUGUGAAAUGCAAGAAACCCUGAAAAGAAAAAAUGUAACCUAAAACAUCCUAAUGUAAUAUGUAAAAAGGUUAGAAAAAGAAAAGGAUCGACUAAAUCAAAUACUCGGACUCUCUAAAAAAAAUUUCGAGUGGAGUCGUCAGCUGUCGCGCCCCAUUUUUUGAAAUAAAAAAUUAUGAGUUAUAAAAAAUAUUUUUUUCAUUAAUUUUGAUUGAAAAUGAGUUUUUGAUUUUUAGAGAAUAAAUAAAGAAAAAGGGCCUAAAAUGGGACCUAAGAAGUGCGACGGUUUUGCCCCAAAAUAAUAGUCUAAAAAGGGUUUUUAGAAAAAAUAGGAGUCGCCACUUGGUAUUGAAUUAAAGUGUAUUAAGUCACCCAAAAAUAUAUGUUUUAAUUGUAAUAAAAAAAAAUAAACAAAACUCCUUUUUAACGACUCUAGGUCUUUGGAAACAAAAGAAAGGGUUCAGGAGUCAUGGUUGAAGAAAAGGAAGGUAAGAAUAAAAUACAAGGCACCCUUUCGACCUAGUUAAGACUAGUUGCAAUAUUUAGUCGAAAACUUUUUCUAAUCUAACCUAUAGACUUAUCACAUUGGGAUGUUUCUACAUGGAUGCACACCUAGACCUAAUGGAUAUUGGGAGGGUUCAAAUAUCUCUUUAAAGAUUAAUUGAUGCAAAUAACAUUAAUUGUGAUGCCCAAAAUAAUUCUUAAAAGAGGUCACGAAUAUGCAAAGAAUGAGACUCAAAGGAAAGAAAAAUUAUAAUAUAUAAGUAUGUGUGACCUCAAAUGAGGAAUGCAACAUAACAGGUAUGGGGGACUAAGAUUCGUGAUUCAAUUUUCCUUUUUAUAGAAGAGAUACGAGCGUGCUAAGGCUAAGAAACCAUACUCGUCCAUUUCCCAUAUUAGAAGGAUGCUCCCUAACCUAAUCAAGCAAAUGCACUAGCCUAUUUCUAAUUUUUCUUAAAUGGAAUGCAAGUCUAAAAUGUCAUGUUUCACAAUAGGGAUAAGGGAUAUAAAUAUAAAGGAAAUAUCAUGCAAAGUGGUAAAGAUCCUAAAAGUAGAAAAUAUGCAUGAAAUGUAGUGAUUGUCACGCAAUCAUGUGAUUCUAGCGUGUGGACCGCCUAAAGGGUCUAACAUUGGACUAGUGAAAAAUCGCAGAAAUAGGCCAUAACUAGCGUUGGACUAGUGUGGUGACACCAUGUAUUUAUUACAACUAAAUAAAUCAUAUAAAACAUAAUUAAAGCAAGUAAAUACAUAAAACACAUAGAGCACAUAACACGUAGGCAUGAUAUCUAGAUGUAAAGAUUCUAAGAAAGCGAGUAAACACAUAAGCACACAAGUAUGCAAGCAUCCAAGCAAAUAAAAGAAAAUAAAAGUCUAACUAUUACAUUUGGGGCUCCAAUUACAAUCUACGGGGGGAAUUUAAAAAAUAAUAACCUAACUAUUACAUUUAUUUAACUAAAUACAUUUUUAGAAAAAAUUAAAACCUAUCUAUUAUAUAGGCUAGCUAAAUAUAUAUCAUGAGCAUCUAUCUAUUACAAUUUGACAUUUUAAUGCCUCUCAAAUAAUUACCAAUAAAUAAAUAAAAUAAAUGAAACUUAAAAUGAAUAAUAAUGAAUAAAAAGAAAAAACACUCAAAACAUGCAAUUGCACAUAAAACACGUUGGAGCACAUAAAAGAAUUUAAAAUAAUAAAAGAAGUUACAUCCCUUUGAAGUUUGGUGAAAUGGGAUGAAAUUUGCCCUACUUAUGCUCUAAAAUCAAUAAAAUGGUCAAUGCACUAAUUUAAUUAUAAAGAAAUGAAAAUAAUCAUGAAAUCUACCAAUCAAAUCAUUUAAAUGAAGUAUAAUUAACAAUUAAAGAAGAAAACUAUCAGGAAUCUAAUUACAAAAAAUUAAGAAAGUUUUUGUGGUUAAAUUAUAAUUAUUACAAAAUAUAUGGGUCACAAUUAAAUAAAAAUAAAGUUUAGGGACCUAUUGAAAUUAAAGUAGAGAUCUAAUUGAAAGAAUUUAAAAGUUUUUAGGGUCAUAUUAUAAUUACACAAAAGUCUAGGGACUAAUUUGCGAUUCGUAACUAGAUUUCUUGAGCAAACAGGCCUCUGGGCCAUUUCUCUUAUUUUUUGAGCCAAAACUUUCCUAGCCCAGCGUAAAGUUCAAGGAAAAUACAAAGGCCAAUCCAUAAUCUUACCCAAACAAAACCAACAAAAAGGGAUGGGCUUUUACCUCCUAAACCCAAGAUAAAACCCAAAAAUGAACCAGACUUUUCUACCAAAACCCAACCCAAUCAAAUCAUAACCCAAAUCACUAACUAUUUUACCAAAAUCCAAUAAAAUAAAUAAAUCAACUAAAACAAAUUAAGGUUUAAUUAUAUCCCAAAUCACAGAAAUAACAUGUUUAGACAUGCACUUAAAAUAUGAAAAAGAGGAUUACAACUCAAUAGGGACAAGAUUGGUUCAAAUACAGAGACUUUUGGGUCAUAGUGUAAUUAAUUAUAAAGUUAGGGGUCAAAAUAAAAUUUUUAAAAGUUUUGCAUGCAAAGCUUCGAAGAAGCUUUCUUCUGCCACGAAGGAAAAGUCUGAAGUAACGAUAGUUAUGGUAAAGAAUCUAUUUUUACCUGAUAUAACAGGUAAAAAUACUUUUAACGACCAUUUGAUUACCUAUUGUACUGGUCAUCUAAAUGAAAUAGUACCUAAAAUUUUGGUUAGUAAGUUUUGCAUAAAAAAUAGUAAGUUAACUCGAUAUAUUAGUAACUUUUAUGUCUCAAAAAGUAAACUUGAAUAAAUAUGGAACUAACUUUUUUUUUUGAAGGAAAAUACUACUCUAUAUCUGAAACUUAGUUUUUGGAGAGUAAUUUUAGUUCAAGUAAUACUAAGUUUUUAUAGAUUAAUAGUAAAUAUUGUUGAUAGAAUAGUAAAUUUGGUUAAUCAUCAAAACUUAAUAGUUUGUGGCAUAAAUUUACUAUUUUACUUAAAGAAACUUACAAUUGUACGUAUCAUUUAUAAAUGUUAUUUGUUUGAAGCAUUUUAAAUAUACCAUGAAAACUUUUUUUUUUUGCAUAUGACCUUAUGAAAUAUGUAAGAAUAAUUUGUCAUAUUUUAAAAUUUUAAUUAUGGGAAAAUAAACAACUAAGUUCCCAAAAUAUUUCACUUUUAUUGUUUAAAAAAUCUCAACUUGUUGGUUAAAUUUAAAAUAAUUCUAUUGUCAAAAAUAGUUUUUCUCAAAUUAACUUUCAUGAUUAGAUGUGAGAUACAAAUAUGGUAAAAUAUCCCUCAUACAUAUGUAAUGGAUAUUUCAGAAUUUUAGUAAAAAAAAAAAUUGUUGUUAAAAUAACAUAUAUCAUAGUGUACUAAUUAUUUUAGGACCAUUUUAUAGGUGAACUAAAUUUAAUUUAAAUUAUACAAUAGAUUAUACAUGCAUGUGAUUUUCAUUUAUAAUUAUUGGAUCCUAUUCUUAUGAACAAUCUCCCAAGGGAAAAAAUCCAGAUCAUACUGAUUUUCUUAUAUUAAUUGUUAUACUAAUUUUGUCAUUUUUAUUAUUAUAUUAUUUCUCAUUUUUUUUAGGCUUUUACUCUUAUUAUUUCUUGUGUCUCAGAUGUAAAUUUAUUAAAACUUUAUCAUCUUAUUAUAUUCAUGGGUGUUAAAUUAUAAAAAUUUUGAUAUAUAAACAAGUAAUAUUCUAUAUAUAACUAGGAAGAUUUGUUGUUAUUGUUAUUCGAACUUUCAAACUUUUCAAAAAUUGAAAAUGAUUAAAAGCUUAUAAUACAACAAAAUUUUAUUACAUAUUUCACAAGAUUAUGUGAAAAGUCAAACUAUUUUUCAUAGUAUUUUAAAAUAUAUAAAUAAUUUUUUUAAAUUAUACCUAUACUCAUGUAUUAUACAGGUAUAUUAUGAGUACUUACUAACUAAGGUACUAAGAAUUAAUCAUUAAUAAAACAUUUAUCGUUAUUUCAAAUAAAUUUCCUAAUACUAUUUUGAAAUAUGUUUUAAAAUAAAAUAGCACAUGUGUCCCAUAAAUCAGUAAGUUUUGAUUAUUAAUCAAUUUACCAUGUUAUUAGUAAGAGUUACUAUUUAUGUAUAAAAACUUACUAUUACUUGAAUUAAACUUACUUUCUAAAAAGUAAGUUUGGGAUAUAAAGUAGUAAUUUAUUUAUUUAAAAAGUAAGUUUAAUAUUUAUUCCAACUUACCUUUUGAAGUAUAAAAGUUACUAAUUUAUUACGGUUAACUUAUUAGUUUAGAUAGAAAACUUACUUUCUUAUUUUUAAGUGUUAUCCUAUUUAGGUGGAUAGAUCUAGCAAAUAAUCAAAUAAUCGCUAAAAGCAAAUAAAAAAUAAAUCAAAAAUGGUCAUCCAAGUGUUAUCCUAUUUAUGUCUUAAAAAGUAAAUUGAAAUAAAAAUGAAAGUUACUUUUUAAAAAAAAUUAAAUGACUACUCUAUAUUCGAAACUUACUUUUUGGAGAGUAAGUUUAGUUCAAGUAAUAGUAAGUUUUGACGGAUUAAUAGUAAAUCCUGUUGAUAAAAUAGUAAAUUUGGUUAAUCAUCAAGACUUACUAGUUUGUGGCAUAAAUUUACUAUUUUACUUAAAGAAACUUAUAUGAAACAAGUAUUAGGAAGUUUAUUUAAAAUAAUGCUAAGAUUUUUUUAUUAAUGAUUGAAACUUAAUAUUAUAGUUAGUAAUUGUUGGUAACGUAAAUGUAUAAUAUAUGAUUGUAUGUAUCAUUCAUCAAUGUUAUGUGUUUUAAGCAUUUUAAUAAUUGUAUAUAUCAUUUACAAAGGUUAUGUGUUCUAAUAAAUUUAUUUUCUAGGUCACAAGUAUAAAAGUUAAAUUUGUGGCAUAAUCUUUGAAAACUAUAGUAAAUUUAUCCACAUAUUAAGUUUCGUGAAAUUCAAAUAUAUUUUGUAUCAUUUACAAUAUGGAUUUAUAUGCACUUUUUUUUUUAUCAAACUUACUUUUAAUUGGCAAAUAGUAUGUAAAUUAUUAAAAAUUGUUAUUUUAUAAUAAUCAUAAUUUUUAUAGGUGAAUUGUAGAAAAACUGCUAAAAUUGCCAAUUUAUAAAUGAUCAAAUGUUACUACUUUAUGGCAUAUAUUAGUUUGGUCAACUAAAAAAUUAUCGUAAUUAAGUGUACGUUGGUUGUUGAUUUGAAAUUUGCACCCCUGUCACUAUUUCGUUAUUUCUACAACAAGUUUUUCUAAUCAAAGUAAAACAAAGUCAAAUAUCUUUUCUUUUUGUAUGCAGUAUUUAUAUUUAGUUAAAAAUUAAUAAACCAUGAUUACAUUUCAUAAUUUCUAAUGAAAUUAGUAACAUUUUCUAAAUAAAUUGGAAUAAUUUGUAAAAUAUGUUAUUUUUUUACCAAUAUAAUUAGGGGUGACAAUCGGGUCCAAAUCGGAGUGGCGGGUCGGGUUGAGACUGGCUGACCCGAAUUUGACCCGCCAACCCGAAAUGGGUCAGGAUAUCUGACCCGAAUUUGAAAAUUUCAGGUUGUCUGGUUGGCGGGACGACCCGAAUGACCCAAAACUUAAUUUUAAUUUAUUAAUUUACCACUAUAAUUUUUAAUUCACACAAGACUAAUUACAUAAUCAAGUAAUAAAAAUUUAAAUAAAUAAUCCCAAACCAAAUCUAAAAUAAAUUAAAAACACCGUAAAAGUGUUUUAUUCCAAACCAACUUCAAGUGCAUUCCUAUGGAAUUGGUCAACAGCAUUUCGUAGAUCUUUUUCUGUGUAUCCCAUCUUGUUGUGGCCCCCAGCUUGGUAAGCUUGAAGGUCCACUAUUUGAGGAAUUCGAAUACCAACUCCAUGCAUCAAAAUAGCAUGCUCCAGGUCUGUUGGGUUGACACUCCUAUGUGAUCGAAGAAAUUGUACAAAUUCUUGAUUUGUCAAUUGGUGAUUGUGAUCCAUAUUAAACCGCUUAAUCGUAGACUUCUGAAUAUUCUUGUUCCAUUGCACAAUUAUAGUUGCCAGACAACCAACUCUCGUAAGACGUUUUGCCUCUUUCUUACGGCUAACUAAAUUUAACCAUUUGCUAUUUCCUAGCCAUGAGAUCCCGCCCCCAACCACCAAAAAAAAAUAUCUUUAGACAGCAGGGCAGGGAUUCACGAAGACUCUAUAUAUUAAUGAAAUUCAUAAAUACUUCUAAUUUAGGCAAGAGAUUAUGCAUUCUAAUUGAUGCGUACAUGCUAAUGUAAUUGAACCAAACAUGCAGCUCCAGGACGGUGCUUUCUUGCUCAGGAUUCAUUCAUUUGGAGUAUUUUAGCUAGUAAUGACAAGUUUACAAUAAAUGAGUUUGAUUGAACUUGCUACCUAUCCCAUUGGCGUAAACCCCCAAAUUUUUGACUUGAAUACACAAAGUCGUAUUUUUUGGCCAAAAAAAAAAAGAGAAUACACAUAAUCGUAUUUACGAAUACUUCAACCACUAUGCUUGUCUUAUUAUGGAGCUUGGAGUCAUCUUAAUUCUCCAUAUCUUAUGAUUGAGAGUGGCGCAAGACUCCUUCCUAGCAGGUAAGCAGUGGUAAUUAAUAUGUAUGGAUGAAACUUGGACCGAUUCCCACAGACUUCCAAGCCAAGUAACCCAAAUCAUUAAUAUGACCUUCAAACCACAUAUAUACAUACACUUUCUCUGUUUAAUUGAAGGACAAUGUUAGAGGGCCCCAGUGGAAUCUUAGUCAAUAAAACCACAUUUAUCCAUUGGUAUAUUUACGCCAUUGGGCUGCAGCCAGCUGACCAUUAUCUUAAGUGCAAUAUUGUGAUGGAUAGUAGAUUUCAAUGAUUAUUAUACUUUUGGCAGAUUUUUUUUCAAAUGUCAAUAAUCUAUGUCUUUACCUACUCUUGCUCCUAAAUAACGAGGAAAAGGACUAUUCUAACUGGAUUAUUAGGAAUAGAAAGAGAUUAAAUUACCUUUGAAUUAGACGGAUGCCCUUUGACACCUGUUGGAUUUUAAAAAAUUACAUAAAGUGACAAUUGAUAGAAGGCAAGAUUCAAAUUCUUGCAUCUUUAUCAUGAUAAGAAAUCUAUCUGGUCAUUUCUUUCCCUCCGGCUUGCGUUUUUCUCAACCCAGUCGGAAGCCAUUGAAAGCAUGGCAAGUGAACAAUUGAGUCGUAUGUGGUCUCUUAAUGGAAUGACUGCCCUUGUUAUUGCUGGCACCAGAGGCAUUGGGUAAGCAAAUUUCUUCAAAUAUAGUUCCUGGUAUUUAUAUUUAUAUCAAAAAAUUAGUAAAUUCAUUUCAACAUUAGUUUUCUCAAUCACUCCUCAAAAGGGUAUGUUAACUGUUAACAACCAAUUGGACAACUUUUAAUGAGCAGAAAAACCUACUCAAUCACGGUCAUAUCUCGUUUCGUAUACAUAAAUCCUUACUUCCUUCACUUGUUCUAGUAUAUAUGUGCGAUUAUGUCCCUAGUAGCUUUAAUGCAACAUUCAAAAUGCGUGUCCCCAUUUUAACUAUUUGACCCAAAAUUUCAGGCAUUCCAUAGUGGAAGAGUUAGCAGGAUUUGGAGCCACAGUAUACACAUGUUCAAGAAACCAAAAGGAACUUAAUGAAAGGCUGCAAGAAUGGGGAGCACAGGGUUUCAAAGUCUAUCGUUCAACUUGCGAUAAGGCUUCAAGAACAGAAAGAGAGGAACUAAUAAAGAACGUCUCUUCCACCUUCGACGGCAAGCUGAACUUACUGGUAAGUACAAAUUCUGAUCCAUAAAAAUGGUUGGUCCAUCUAUUUCUUGACUUGUUAAAGAAUCAUAAACAUCAUUUCUGUUUAGAAUUUUAGUAUUUGCAUCCAAAGUAAUUCUUAGGGGAAAUAUUUCGGAUAUCUUGGUUUGAAUUAAUUUCCCAAAUGCGGACUGCAGUGCAGAUAUUUUGUAGGAUGUGCCUCCCAUCAGAUUUUUAACAAUUUGACUGCCAUUACCAUUUGGCAAUUAGAACUUUUAAUUUUCUCACCCGCACAGAGUAGCAAUCAUAACACACAAAUUUCUCUUUGACAUUUCACCAAACAUCUUAUAUACAUUCCCAAAUUAAUCACAUUUAACUUAAACACCUAGUCUCAAGUCCUUUCCUAGAUGUUUCAUAUGGCCAUUAAGCAUAUUUUACCCGUAGACAAUCAAAACUACAACCAUGUCCUAGAUGCUUCAACGGACAUUUUCAGCCCCAAAAUUGCAAUAAAUUUUUCAAAUUCUCAGCCCUGAUUUUGCAAGAAAAUCUUGACAAACAAAACAAAUGAAAUAUAAAUAAAUUACAGCAAUAUAAUCAAACGAUUUCAAGAGAACAUGAUGGUCUAACCUCGUCACCGCUAUUUUUCAUAUGUUUUUUGGUUGGCUACCACCGUUGCUAACCCUUUUGUUGUGUCUGAUAGGGGGGAAACCCUUUCUCCUGAACCUGUGCUAUCUAUAAAGCAUAUUUAGCUUUUCCUCCGCGCCUAGGCAGGCCAAUUGAUUGACCGAAAUGAGAAUCAAUGCUUAGUAAAAGGCAGAAAAAGAGACUGAGACAUGAAACCUACCAGAAGAGUUCAGCCUGAAGAUAUGAUAGAAUUGCAUAGCCCGCUUGAUCAAUUUUCUAAAUUUUAGCUAAAGCUAAUCCCGUUCCAUAAGAUGAUGAUCGUACUCCUUCCUUUUCCAGGAAACAUUUUCUACAAUCUUCCGUGAGGUGCGAAGAAAAUAAAAAGAAGGGAAGCAACUUUAGAGAGGUGGAAACCCAAACCGUUUUUAGAAACCAAUUUUUUUUUACUUUAAUAUGUAAAUUUUUUACUUUUAGUAUUAGAAAGUUUAAAUUAAACAAAAGUAACAUUUGUCAAAUAAUAAGUAAAUUAAAUUACUGAAAGGGUAAAUUUUGAUUUUUGACUAAAAUUUAUCUUUCAAGCAUAUACUUACUAGUUUUAAUUAAAAACUUACUAAAGUUAAUAUUAAUUAUUUUAAUAUAAUAUUUAAAAAGUCGCUAAAAAAUUUGAUUUGUCACUAAAGGUAAUAGAAACUUGUAAUAGUAGUUUCCUUAACAUCGUUACCAUAACUAUAGGCACUGUAGCAUUUUCCGCAACCGAAAGCUUUCUUUCUGCAACUCCAGAAACACAUUCAACCCAAGAAGGCAGCCGCAACAUUCAAGCCAAAUUCACAAAAUCAUCAACUAGACCCAAUAGGAACCACAUCCCCACAAACAAACCACAGAACAGCAUGGGGUUAAUGGCUCAAAAUCUCCCACCCCAGAUUUGCAGAUAGAAAGAAAAACAGACCACUUUCACUCAUUGAGUCCGAACAAAACCCCGAAGCAUAACUUUGUUAUGAACUACAAAGCUUGCAAAGAUAAUCAAGGACAAACAUUCACAUUAACUUCCAAAUCUUGUCAUAUUUUAGUCAAACCAGAGGUAUCAGCAGUGGCGGAGCUAGGAAUUGCAAUUAGGGGGGGCGAGUCUCUGUUAUUUGGACCAAAUCCAAAUAACUUUCAAACAUUAUUGUUUGGGUCCUUGAGAGGGGGCAAAGUGAAAUUUUUAUCAAUAUUUUGGGGGGGCAAAGCAAUAUAAUAAAAAUUUUUUUACUUAGAAAUUUUUUUUAUAACAAUUGGAGGGGGGGCAAGGUGAAAUUUUUGAUCAAUAUUUGGGGGACAAAGCAAUAUAAUAAAAAUUUUUUUACUUAGAAAAUUUUUUUUUUAACAAUUGGAGGGGGGGCGGUUGCCCCCCCUGGCCCCCCCCUUCCCUCCGCCCCUGGGUAUCAGACCCAGCAAAAACAUUUAACCCGCACUAUAAACCCAUAAUCUUAAAAAAAGUUCUCUUUUGAUGAGUUAAAGAUCUUUUUUUUUUUUCUUUGUGGAUUGCAGCAAGCAAAGGAAAGAUUGAGAGUUACCUCCGGAUGCUAGUGCAGUCAAAUGAACGCAAGGUGCUUCAAGAAAGUCGUGUGGAUUGCUGGAACGAAAACAGGAACACUUUGCCGCAGAAAUUUCAGCCUUGGCGAGCAGGCUGUUUUGAGCCGAAAUUACAGAGAUCUGGAAAUGUUUUUUCAAGAUGUUUUCUGAACAAAAGUUAUAGAUUUACCAACAUAGUGAGUGCAGAAACUGAAAUAGAACCUAGAGGAUCAAGAACCUAGAGGCCAACCAGCAUGCUUUACCCCCAGAACCAGUAAUGCUAUUGACAAAAUUCAUCAGAAGACUCUUAAACAGGUUAGCCAGAGCCGAUCCAAAUGUGUAAAUUGCUACUCCAAUACUGGACAUGCUCUUAGGGAACUCCAUGUAAAAGAAUUUCAAAGUAUGACACUGUAGUAGUUGAAGCACAAAUUCUAUCCUACCUAUGUAAGACUUGCUUCACUUUAGUCCUUAAAAUAUAAGACUGGGCCAGCUGGAGUCAACCGAAUAGGCCUGAAAAUUUAGAGUUGAGCUCUGUAGAUUAUUGGAUUGGAAUUAACUUGGACUCCAAUAUAAGACCUAAUUUAAUUAUGAAUCGAACUUGAACUUAAUUAGGCUCAAUUCAAUUGAAGUUCACCCAAAAAUUUAGUAUAUAAAAUAUAUGUUUUAUAUAUUUUUAUUUGUAAUUAUGUAUAUUAUUGUAUAACUAUGACUAUUAUAAUCUAUAUAUAUUAUAAUUUUUGUAAUCAUAAAAUAUUAUAUGAACAUUAUGGGCUUGCUCUUGUUGAUUAUUUUAGCUGGUUAUAGACUUUGAUUUUAGAUAGUUAGUUUUUUAUUUUUUGUUUGCAUUUAUAUUUAGUUUAUAUAUUUUGAAUAGCUAAAAAUAUUAUAUUCAAUAUGUAUCAAAGAGUAGCUUUUUGUUGAUUUUCAUUAAACAUUAUAAUAGUUCUCAUAAUCAGAUUUUACAAAAUCUAAAACAAAUGACAACAAAACAUAUGCAUAACUAUAAAUUCAUCGUGAACUUAGGUUGAGCACGAAUUAGGCCUAAAGUCCUAAUAUCUUUGUAAUCUGCAUAUGAGCCUCACAUUGUGAGUUUAAAGUCCAAAAGCAAGAAAUUUUACCUUUUUGUGAGUUCAGUUUGGGCUUGUUGAAACUUGACUCACAUGUCUAGCACAACCCUACUAAAGUAUACUUUUUUUUUUCUUUUUUCUUUCUUUUUGGAUGGAGGGGGUAUCGGGGUUGCGGCCCGACUAAUCUCUCCCCGGCCCGAAAGGAGAGACCUCUUCCCCUCGGGUACGAUAACCCUGGGACUCGAUCCCUGGUGGGGAAAUGGGCAACGGAUGUUGAGGAGCUUCCGUGACCAAACGAGCUGGCCAGGUGAGGCCCUACUAAAGUAUACAAACAGUCUCUUUUUACAAAUUUUUUAGUGUAGUUUAAGGUUUUAGAUAAAAUACACAAAUACAUAAUAAAUUAGAUAAUCAAAUACUACUUUUUUGAGUUUUUAACCAUUUUUUCAUAUAAUUAUUAUAAAUAAUUCAUUUAUUAUUAUUAUUAUUUUAUAUUAGAUUCCUGUGCAUAGCACUGGUCAAAAUACAAGUAAUAGGACUAUUAAUAGUAAUAGUGAUGGUAAUAUUAGUCUUUUCUAAUAAUAAUGAUGCUAAAAAAAGGUAUAAAAAGGUUCCCUUAUGGGCACCCACAAGGGAAGCAGGGUGGAGUGAGGCAGGGGGAGGGAGUUAUAUGACAGCAGAGCAGGCUUUGAAAUGCAUCCGGUUGCCAUCCUAAAAUGUAGGUUUGCAAACAUAGUGGCUGCUUUAGAAAGUUUGGCAACAAGCCAACAACUUGAUAGUUUGAUUGUUGUUUAGUUCUCCAUCAGAGGUUUGCUCCCAAUUAUAGCAUCCAUCAAAUAAACAGCUGCUUGUUUGUUUCUUUCCUGGAUGGUAUGAUGAUGAGUUUCCUCCAUCUGCCAUGUUUCUGCAAAAUAGAAUUAGUUAGUCUAUCUUUAAUUUUUUAGAAAAAGGUAGGAGGGCAUUAGGAUCAAGAAGUUGGGGUAUUAUACCCUCAGUGGUGGUUAUGUAAGGAACUAGUUGGUUGAUAAAGGAUACUCCUAAAAUGACAUUAUUGGUUAAUUUUUUUGGCUACGAAAAAGGUGUCUGUGAUAGAUAAAGAAGAGAAUUGGAUAUAUAUAUAUAUAUAUAUAUCUAUAUAUCUAUAUAUAUAUAUGAGUAGUUAUUUUAAUCAGAAUUGUUUCUCACUCCUAUGUGGCGUACUUAAUUAAAAAAAUUAAUGAGUUAUAGGUCACUUGAAUUUUACCUAUAUUGAAUCCUAUUUGGAUUGUAUUAUAUGUUUAAAAAUUAUCUCUAAUUUUAAAAUAACUUUAAAAAACAACUAAUCUUAUCUUAAUAAUUUCUGCUUUUAUCAAAUUAUUACAUAGAACUAUAGUAAAAUCUUUUGCAAAUCACAAUUAUUGAAAAUUUAUGUACUACAUUUCACUACCAUAUCAUUGAUUAGUAUUCAAAUCAUUUAUCAUCUUUUCCUUACUGUUAUUACCUUGUAAAAUACAAAAUUUUAUUAUCUAAAAAAUAUUUAUAAAAUAAAGAAUAUCCACCAAGCUUUAAUAUGGGGUACAUUGUUUGAUGUAUACUAUUAUAUUACGAUGAAAGUAUGUAAACAAAUUUUUAAAAAUUAGUAAAUAAUUGAACAUUUAGAAUACAUUAAUUUUUAAAGUUAAUAUGAAUGAAUAUGUAGGAUUCUGGUUAAUUUUUGUAUUUAAAUUAUUCAUAUUUGUAUAAAUUCACAAUAAAUAUAUAAAAAAAAGACCGUGCUAAGACACAGACAAAAUUCUAGUUAUGUAAUAAGUACGAUGUGUUUCAUUUCGGUCUAACCACCUCCCUGAAUUUUGGUGAUUAACCCUAAUUUUAAACAUGUACUACUUUCCUAUUUAUUAUUAAGAAUCCCAACUGCAUACUCUUUGGAUUUUUAUACAAUAGUUUGAUUGGAAUAAUGUGUACAGCACUGACCUAAUGCACGUUCCCCAAUAAUUGCACGCAUGCAUCUUCCAUGACUUCACCUAUCGAAAGUCGAAGGUUUUGCAUCACAUUUUGCUUAAACAAUUUAUCUAAAACAUAUCCUUCGAAUUGAGGACGUUAGACGAAAGUGUUGCUGAAAUUUUCGCAGGGCCCCUUGAGCAGUUUUGGGAAAUUUACUAUAUUUUGUUAUAGGAAUAUCAGAAUUGAGUUCCAUUUAUUGUGUUUUAAACUAGAUUCAUAGCGCUAUUAACCAUGUAAAUUUCAGACUCUGGUUUGGUCUGGGUGAUUUAUGGUGAUUUUUCAAAGUUAACUGAAAUUGUAUACCUGUUCUGUCUUUUACUGGAUAAAACAACAAUUUGAGGCUUGAAUUCUGAGAAAUUGUACCUCUUUGAGUCUACUUUCCGAUGAUAUAAAUUUUAUCAAUUUUGGACUUAGGAAUCAUGAGAUAUGAUUUUUCAAAUGGAGGUGCGCAAACCUGGAAAAUCCUUUUUUUCUUAGGACCACCCAUUACUUUUUUUCUCUAAAAAGGCGCUUUUAUCUCCUUGUACUAGUAGUUAACUCGGAGAGGUAUAUGACUUGUAGUCGAGCCUCAUUUAUGCAUUCCGUUUACUGGAUUCGUGACUGUGGGAACUAUAAUUGCUUUCCCUUGGUUAUUCUAGGGUUUCUCGGUGAUUAAAGCCCUACUUUGGGUGAAAACUUUUGAAGUAUCUGUACUUGAACUGGUGAGUGUACUACUCCCUUGAAUUAUUGUUAAACUGGUUAUCUGUACUUGUACCUUGUUACUCGAAUGCCUGCUUUUCUUGUACGAGGCGAGGGUGUACUUUAUCACACUCGUUCUCUGGCUUGUGUGACUUGUUACCUUUGUAUACUUGAACCUGUUACCUGUGCCUGCUAUGAUGUUAUUUGGAAGUGUAUCCAACGACCUUCUUGUUAAAUUUGAGCUCAACCUCAUGGGGAGUCAAAUGAAUUGAGCCAGCAAGGCCUUGGUCAAGGAAAAUUGACAAUCCAUGGGUGCCGGUUCCUGGGAAAUUUUAGGGUAUUGGAGACUUUAGAUUUCCGGUAUACUCGAGUAUUACCAUUCAUGUUCUUGUUUGGCGUUCGGGCCCGGUGAGGGGGUAUGAUUGGUGGACAGGAUUUGGCGUUAAAGUGGUGUUCUACUGGACUAGUUCCUUUAUUUGAAAGUUGACGGAGGGUCAACGUAGUUAGAUCAAGUACUGUAAUGGGGAUUCGGCUUCCGAGAGCUGCCUGUAUCCUUUGAUUCAUGGUGUUCAUUCAUUUCCUUUAUUUGACGUAUAUAUGUGCCUUAAAAGAGAAAUCUUAUGAUUUAUGACUAUUUAUACUUUUGGUACCUCACUGAGCUUUUAACUCACCCCGUUCCCAUUAUUUGUUUUCCUUACAGGAACAACUUCUGGAACCAUGUUUUGAGAAGCGAAUAGAGCUAGUUAGACAUUCAUUUGUUCUUUUGUAUAGCUCCUCGGAAGUUGAAAACCCUAAAUGUAUUUUGAUUCCCAGUUUUCCCCUUUUGAUUUGUAAAGUUUAUGAACGUGGAGUUAUAAAAGUGUUUUCUCUUGUAUAUGUGAACUAUUUUCUUUAGUAAUGUAUUUUCAUGAGUGUUGGAUAAAGUGUACAUGUAUCGGUUGUGGUUUGGUUGUGUACAAAAGUUGGACGUGGGGAAAAAAAAAAGAAAUUUUAGAGGUUAUUGUUCACUGAAUCCGGCCAAAUUCCGGCCGGAUAGUGAUGUGGCAAUCACUGUUCAUCCGCAGCUUGUUUUCAUUUUUUUUUUCGUUUUCGCGACCAUUGAAGCAUUCGAGCGCUGAAAUUUCAUUCAGAAUGGGUAUCUUGAGUGUGAUUAGCUUAAUUCGUAGUCCUGGCGAGAGUUGGGCAGGCAGUUCGCUAAAUCCUUUGGUUCACCCUAGGGGAAAGUGGGGUUGUCACAUCAAGGAGGGUGAGUGCAACUAUCAAAAACCUCAGGGGAGGUUUCUGCAAUUAUCCCUUAUGUAAAUCAAGUGAAAGUUUAGAUUGGGUUAGUCGCUCGCCUAAAUAUUCAAAGCCAAUGAGGCAUGUUCUAGUUUAUGAACUUUUGACAUGUUAUAAGUUUUCUUGUAUGAUUACAUGAUCAUGGAUAUAAUUAUGGGAACAUUCAUCUUAAAUCAUAUGUUAUAUAUAUAUAUAUAUAUAUAUAUAUAUAUAUAUAUAUAUGCAUAUGUUCAUGCAUAUGAUAUGUUCAAGGUCAUUAUAAUCUAAAAGUAUACUUAUGCGUACAGAAGGUUUUAUACUCAUGAAAUGAAACUACUGCAAAAGGAUGGUGGGCAAAAGUCAUUUUGAAAGAAAUAUAUGUAUGUAUUAUUUGUAUGAUCCAAUGGAGGAAGUAAAAGCUGCUUUGCUGAGCGUGUGUUGCUCAAGCCAUAAUAUUAAUACGUUUCUUGCAUGUACUAAGUAAAUUCCUCUUUCUGUCAAAACUACCAAGGGUUGGGUUGAUAGGCAUGAAGGACAAGACCAGAUUUUGCAUAAUUCUGGGUGUCAUAGGUUCCAAGCCAAGGCAAUUAUAUAUCGGAUGAUGGAAAUAAGUUGCAUAAUUGGACUAUAAAUGCUGUCAAUUAUUUAAGUCAUCAAAAGGAAGAAAAAUGUUUCUAUGCAUUUUAAGGCGUUAAAACUUUUCAUUGUCAAUUAUAGCAACAAGGUGGUAGCCAAAUCCAUUAAUGCAAUUGGCAACUAGUAGCUCCAAGAAUCACACGCCCUGCACUAUACAGUGCUUAAAAAAUAAUAUUUUGUGUUUCUUGUUUAGAAAUUGACAUCAAUGUAACUUGACUCCAAAUCUAAUUAUAUUAUAUUCCGAACUCUCUUCCUAAAAUAAUGCCUCAAAUUCCAUAUUACACCAAUAACAUCAAUAAUGUUACAAUAAUAUUCAAAUUCAGAGUCAUAAAACAGCCUUAAUAUAUUAUGUUCAGGGUAUUGCUGAAAAGAAUCUAAAUCACUAAAAGUCCAAAAUAAACUUGCUAUUUGUUCCUUUUCUUCUUUUUCAUUUUCUGAUUUAGGUUCAAUGAAGACUCAAAGCCUCAUAAUAAGAAAAGGGGAAAAAUGGCAGCUUGAAAGUUGAACCAAUAAUCUCACAAAUAUUUAACCGAUGUCUUUACCAAUUAAACUCGAUCUUGAAAACAAACUUUCUGUUUAACAUAAAUAUAGAUAUAGAUAUAGAUGUGAUAUGACUAAUUGCUGUUUAACAUAAAUAUGGAUAUGGAUAUAGAUGUGAUAUGACUAAUAUGGAUAUCAAACUCUCUUCUUAAAAUAACUAGAAUUUUGCCUGUGCUUUAGCACCGUCUUUUCUUUUUAUUUAUGGUGAAUUUAUACAAAUAUAAAUAAUUUAAAUAUAAAAAUUAACAACAUUUCUACAUGUUCAUUCAUAUUAAUUUUAAAAAAUUAAUGUAUUUUAAAUUUUCAAUUAUUUACAAAUUUUUAAAAACUUUUAUUUAUUGUGAAUUUAUACAAAUGCCAAUAAUUUAAAUAUAAAAAUUAACAAUAGUUCUACAUGUUCAUUCAUAUUAAUUUUAAAAAAUUAAUGUAUAUUAAAUGUUCAAUUAUUUUACUAAUUUUUAAAAAUCUAUUCACAUACUUUUACUAUAAUUUGAUGGUAUAUAUCAAAUAAUGUAUCCCAUAUCAAAAACUUGGUAGAUAUUCUUUUUUUUAUAAAUAUUCUUUUAGAUAAUUUAAAUUUUUAUAAUGAUCAUAAACUUAGAACUAUAUAUUCAUAUUUAAUUAAGUAGAAAAAGAUCUAGCAAUCCAUUUUUCUUCAUCAAUAAAUAUUCAAUUUCCAAUAAUAUUAAUAAAUCUAUCAGUGUAAUAGUUAAUUGUUUUUUUUUACGCUAAGUUAAUUCAAAAUUAAGAGAAAAGAUGAUGAAUAAUUUGAAUACUAAUCAAUGAUAUAAUGGUGAAAGGAAAUAAUUUAUGGAAUAUGUAAGAUUUCAAUAAUUGUGAUUUAAAAAGACUUUAUUAUACUUCUACGUAAUAAUUUGGUAAAAAGCGGAUAUCAUUAAUAUAAGAUUAUGGUGGUGAAAGAAAGUAAUAUAUGGAAAUGUAAGAUUUCAAUAAUUGUGAUUUAAAAAGGUUUUACUAUACUUGUAUGUAAUAAUUUGGUAGAAAACAAAUAUUAUUAAGAUAAGAUUAGUUAUUUUUUAAAACUAUUUUAAAAUUAAAGAUAACUUUUAAACAUAUAGUAUCAUCAUUGUAAUAAUUUCCUAGAAAGCAGCUAUCAUUAAGAUAAGAUUAGUUAGUCUAAUUUUUAAACACAUAAUAUAAUCCAAAUAGGAUUAGUAUGGGUAAAACUUAAAUGACGCAUAACUCAUUAAUUCUCUUCAAUUAGGCAUGUCAUAUAGGAGUGAGAAACACUGUGAUUAAAAUAACUACUAUAUAUAUAUAUAUAUGCCUCAAAUUCCAUAUUGCACCAAUACCAUCAACAAAGUUAUAAUAAUGUUAAAAUUUUGAGUCAUAGAACAGCCUUAAUAUAUUAUGUUCAGGAUAUUGCUGCAAAGAAUCUAAAUCACUAAAAGUCCAAAAUAAACUUGCUAUUUGUUCCUGUUCUUCUUUUCCUUUUUCUGGUUUAGGUUCAAUGAAGACUCAAAGCCUCAUAAGGAGAAAAGGGGAAAAGUAGCAGCUUGAAAGUUGAACCAAUAAUCUCACAAUAAUUUAACUAAUGUCUUUACUAAUUAAACUGGAUCUUGAAAACAAACUUUCUGUUUAACAUAAAAUAUAGAUAUAGAUAUAGAUGUGAUAUGACUAAUUGCUGUUUAACAUAAAUAUAAAUGUAGAUAUAGAUGUGAUAUGGCUAAUACGUUGCUCCACAAAUAACCAUUCGACACAGAAAAUUUGUGAUCAGAGUAUGGGAAACCAUAUUCCAUGAAUCAAAAUGACAUACGUGACUCUAUAAGAAUAUGGAUUUGUUAUCCCAGUUUUCCACUAUUGAAGAUUGCAUACGAUUUUUGGUUUCGCAAUCAUGAUGCGUAUGUGCUUGUCAAAGUAUUUUAUUGGUAGUUGAAGCCUACUUUUCGAAAUUGACAUUUUUGAAAUUAAGUUUUAAGCUCUAGUUUCCACAAUAUGUUUGGACCACAUUUGUGGUUUUGAUUAGCUCAUUUAUUUCAAGAGUUACAUCACCAGGGUUGUUCCUUGACUCAACCCUAAUUCAUUUUCUUACUCAAAAAUGUCUCGCGCAUCUGACAUGAUAAUUCAAUGGGAACAACAAACCAUCAUGGCACUUUCACUGAGAAAGUCUCAUCUCGAAAAAAAAGGAAACAUCUUAAUUUAGUAAUUUGGCAAUUAACCAAACUAAUUGUAGGAGAAUCUAGUUCCUCUGCGAUUGUGGGAAGAAUCGAACCAUCUUGUAGCCAGUCUAAGAUUGAGGUCAAUACAUGUUAGUAAAAAUUAGGCUGGUACAAUAUAGGAAAGAAUAAAUAUAAACUGAAAAAGGAUGGAGAUAGAAAAUAACAAUCCGAGGCUUGUGAGCACAAUUUCCUUAAAACAGAUUCGCCUCCUACAGGUAGAGUGCUCGAGGUUAAGUAGGUGUCUGUCUCCCAGAAUACAACGGAUUAAAGGUGAAUAUGUUAUCACCAAACUUCUUCACCACAGCGAACUCGAACUAGAGCAAUAUGGAACACUAUAAAAGAUGAAGAUGCAAAAGAAUAAAAAAAAAAUUGGAGAGAGAGCUCUGUUUUUAAAACAAAAUAAAAAGAGAGUUAUUUAUAGAUCCUGGCCAAGGGUGAUUGUAGAAAUUGGAAACAAAUGUUAAAUUCCAUUUAAUUAUCUUCACAUUUAUCAAAGUACCACAUUCACGUACAUACAUGUAUUCUCGAUAAGAAAACUCCAAAUUCAUGUAUUAACAAUUACGUACAUAAAUACUUAAUUCCUAAGUACAUGAAUCCUAGGUACAUGAAUCUUCAGGUACAUGAAUGAUAGAUAAUUAUCCUUGGAUUCUAUCAAGAGUGCCAUUAUAAGAACGAUUUUCUCAUUCACUCUAUAAUGAAUUUUUCCAUUUUUCCAACAAUCCCCCACAUGAAUGAAAAAAUUGUUUCGAAUUUGACUCUACAGUAGUGUCCCACAACUGAAACCUGCAUAAGAUAGGUUGGUGUUACCCUUUGAACCUUCUCUCGUGAAAUACACUUACUUUACUGGCAAUCCAGUAGACAUGAUGUCUUUGAACUGUCCCGCUUUUCAGUGUAAAUAAACCAUAUAUUUCACACAGGAAUCAUGCUCCAUUUGCUCAGUUCUCAUAGUUAUGUUCGUUUUGGCCAUGAACAUCAGCCUGGUUCAACAAGAGUUUUUAGAAUUGAGCCCUAAACAAUUCUCUUUUGAAGCGGCUCCACUUCACUCUCACAUAGGUGAUUUCUUAAGUCUCUAGUAAUUAAUUACUGCACUUAAGAAUCAUUAAAGCACACCAUUGUGCUAUCCUCAAUUCUUCUUUGCGUCAUUGUUUCAUUAUGGAAUGGGUCUAAGGAUAUCCCCCCCACAAUGACUAUGCUAAGUCCUUAUAAUUAGGUUGUCCCUUUGAACCUAGAUAUUGGGAUCUCCAGUCAGCUAGGUUGGGUUUCCUUUAUAACACUUAGCCUUCCAUGGGCUUUAGUCCCAUUCCCUUUGCCAUUUUUUCAACCAACUCUCUAUUCAAUCCUUUGGUUAGCGGAUCCGCUAUGUUAUCCUUUGAUUUCACAUAAUCAAUAGAGAUAACUCCUAUUGAGAGUAGUUGUUUAAUGGUAUUGUGCCUACGACGUAUAUGUCUAGACUUACCAUUAUAUAUGUGAUUCUGUGCUCUUCCAAUUGCUGAUUGACUAUCACAAUGAAUACAUAUUGGUGGCACAGGUUUUUCCCAUUUUGGAAUGUCCUCAAGGAAAUGGUGUAGCUAUUCAGCUUCUUCUCCACAUUUAUCCAAGGCAAUGAAUUCAGAUUCCAUUGUAGACCUAGCUACAAUAGUUUGUUUAGAAGACUUCCAGGAUACUGCCCCACCGGCAAGUGUGAACACAUAUCCACUUGUAGAUUUUGAAUCUUUUAUAUCAGAUAUCCAAUUUGCAUCAGCGUACCCUUCUAGAACAGCAGGGUAUCUAGUGUAAUGCAGUCCAUAGUUCCGAGUGUACCGUAGGUAUUUAAGUACCCUUGAAAUUGCUUUCCAAUGAUUAGCACUCGGAUUGCUUGUAAAUCUACUCAAUUUGCUCACUGCAUAUGCAAUGUCAGGUCUAGUGCAACUCAUUAAAUACAUUAGACUUCCAAUGAUUUGUGAGUAUUCUACUUGAGAAAUACUCUCUCCUCUAUUCUUAGAUAGAUGGAAACUAUUGUCUAAUGGAGUUCUUGCAAUUCCAGAAUCAUUCUUAUUGAAUUUUUCUAGAAUCUUGUCCACAUAAUGAGUUUGGCUCAAGACCAAGCUGUCUGAUAUUCUUGUAAUUUUAACUCCUAAAAUUACAUCAGCAAGCCCCAUAUCUUUCAUGUUAAAUUUUGAAUUUAACAUGUCUUUGGUAAACUUGACCAUUUUGUCAUUACUACCAACAAUAAGUAUGUCAUCUACAUAAAGACAUAAGAUGACAUAGCCAUGUUCUGUUUCUUUAGUGUAGACACAUUUGUCACACUCAUUUAUUUUGUAUCCAUUAGUUAUCAUUGCAUUGUCGAACUUUUCAUGCCAUUUCUUUGGCGCUUGUUUUAGUCCAUACAAUGAUUUUACCAAUUUACAGACUUUAUUUCCUUUUCCCGGAGUUAUGAAACCCUCAGGUUGCUUCAUGUAGAUUUCUUCAUCUAAAUCACCAUUUAAGAAAGCCGUCUUUACAUCCAUUUGAUGUAUCUCUAGAUUUCUCAAUGCAGCAGUAGCAAGAAUCAUUCUGAUAGAAUUUAUUCUCGUAACAAGAGAAUAAGUAUCAAAAUAAUCCAAACCUUCUUGUUGCUUGUAUCCUUUGAUUACAAGUCUGGCUUUGUACUUAUCGAUAGAGCCAUCAGGUUUCAUUUUCCUUUUAAAGAUCCAUUUGGAUCCUAAAGGUUUACAACCACGAGGAAGAUCCACUAACUCCCAUGUGUGAUUCUGUGAAAUAGAAUCAACCUCACUUUUUAUUAUUUCUUUCCACAAAAAUCCUUCAGAAGAACUUACAGCUUCUGUAUAGGUUUGUGGUUCCUUUUCUAAUAGAAAAAUUGUAAAAUAAUCUCCAAAUGAUUUUUCCACUCUAGCCCUUUUGCUACGUCUCGGUUCAUCUUGUUGAAUCAAGUUAUGAUCGUGUUUUUCUUGAUUCAUGACUUCAUGUGUUCGUUUUGAUGAACUUGAUGCACCAUUUGAUUUACAAAGAAACACAUCUUCAAAGAAUGAAGCAUUCCUUGAUUCCAUUUUGUGUAUAUCCGAAAUUUCUGAAUUAUACACAAGAAACCGAUAAGCAGCACUAUUAUGUGCAUAGCCUAUAAAGAUACAGUCCACAGUUCUAGGACCUAUCUUUAUUCUCUUUGGUGUUGGAAUAGCCACUUUUGCAAGACACCCCCACACUUUCAAGAUUUGUAGGAUAGUCUCCUACCUUUCCAUAACUCAUAAGGAGUUUUAUCUUGUUUUUUUCGGAGUACCCUAUUUAAAAGGUAAUUGCUUGACAAAAUAGCUUCACCCCACAUAUUUUGAGGUACGAUUUUUCCUUUAACGUCGCAUUCAUCAUUUCCUUUAAUGUACGAUUUUUCUGUUCAGCAACACCAUUUGAUUGUGGUGAGUAAUGUGCAGUUACUUCAUGAACAAUUCCAAAUUUUGCACAAUAAUCACCAAUAGGUGUUUCAUAUUCACCACCUCUAUCACUUCUUAACCUUUUAAUUCUCCGGUUAAGUUGAUUUUCAACUUCAUUCUUGUAGAGAAUGAAUUUUUCCAAGGCUUCAUCUUUACUUUUGAGCAAAAACACAUAACAGUAUUUUGCGCAAUCAUCAAUGAAAGUGAUAAAAUAUUUAUUACCACCUCUUGUUUGAACAAAUUUUAAAUCACAGACAUCUGUGUGAAUCAAUUCAAGGGGUUCGGUGUUUCUUUCAAUUGUUUGAAAAGAUGACCUUGUUAAUUUUGCUUCUACGCAGAUCUCGUAUUUAUGGUUUGAAUUGAUUUGAAAGGAAGGUAUAUGAUCCAAGUUAAUUAGUCUACGCAAAGUAUCAUAAUUAACAUGACCUAGUCUACCAUGCCAUAAUUGGAAGACUCAAGCAAAUAAGCAGAAGACUUAUUCUUAUUAUUCACAAUAGUCAUUGCAUUCAAUUUGAACAACCCAUCGGUUGUAUAUCCUUUCCCUACAUACAUUCCAGAUUUGGAUAAUAUAACUUUAUUCGAUUCAAAAAUCAUGCAAAAGCCAUGCUUGUUUAGCAAUGAUCCAGAAACAAGGUUCUUACGGAUUUCUGGCACAUAUAGAACAUCGUUCAAAGUCAAUGUUUUGCCAGAAGUCAUCUUUAGCAGCACCUUACCUUGACUUUCAAUAGCAGAUGAGGCAGAGUUCCCUAUGAACAUUUUUUCACCUUCAAUUUUUUCGAAGGUAGUGAACAGGUCUUUGUUUGUGCAAACAUGUCUUGUAGCUCCAGUGUCAAUCCACCAUUCUUUCCGAUUUGACCCCAUCAUAUUCACUUCAGAAACCACAGCAGUCAGGUUCAUGUUUUCCAUGUCUCUCUCGAUUCUAUCAAGCAAGUUCGCUUCAUGCUUCUUCUUCUUCUUUGGAAGCUUACAUUCAGAGGACUUGUGACUUUUUUUUGUCACAGUUGAAGCACUUCCCUUGGAAUUUCUGCUUAGAGGUUUUUUCUUUUGCCCCAAAAUUUCGAUUUGGCUUUUUGCCUUUGGAGUUUUGCUCUUGCUUAUACUCCACAAUAUUUGUUUUAGCAUCAAAAGAAUUUAAUGCCUUGCAAUUGGAACUCCUGUUGUCUUCUUCAAUUCGAAGUCUAACAAUAAGGACCUCCAUACUCAUCUCUUUGCACUUGUGCUUGAGAUAGUUCUUGAAAUCCUUCCACCCAAGAGGUAGCUUUUCAAUAACAGCAGCUACUUGAAAAGUUUCACUCAAAAUCAUGCCUUCAGCAAGAAUCUCAUGCAAGAUAAUCUGAAUUUCUUGCACCUGACUGAUAAGAGUCUUGGAAUCCACCAUUUUAUAGUCUAGAAAUUUUCCGACGACAAAUUUCUUUGCCCCGGCAUCUUCGAUUUUAUAUUUCCGAUCCAAGGAUUCCCACAAUGCCUUCGCCGUCUUGUGUACUUGAUACACGUUAUACAGCGAGUCAUGCAAGCAGUUCAUGAUAUAAUUUUGACAAAGGAAAUUGGAGUGCUUCCAAGCAUCAAUAGCACUGACAGCUUGUGCAUCAGUUAAUCCCUCUGGCAGUUUUGGAGCAUCCUCACUUAAGAAUCUCGAGAGAUUCAAUGUUGUCAAAUAGAACAGUAUCUUUUGUUGCCAUGUCUUGAAGUUCAGAUCAUGGAACUUCUCAGGUUUCUCACUAUGGUUGGUAGAAACCAUAGGAGUAAUCAUUCCUUCAGGUCGUUUCACAAUAGUGCCAAAGGCAGAGGCAUCAGAAGUAGAAAUGUUGGUUUCUCUUCCUGUAUUGUCAGCCAUUGAGAAUAGAAUAUGUUUUAAGACUGUUAGUAAAAAUUAGGCUGGUACAAUAUAGGAAAGAAUAAAUAUAAACUGAAAAAGGGUAAAGAUAGAAAAUAACAAUCCGAGGCUUGUGAACACAAUUUCCUUAAAACAGAUUCGGUCCCUACAGGUAGAGUGCUCGAGGUUAAGUAGGUGUCUGUCUCCCAAGAUACAACGGAUUAAAGGUGAAUAUGUUAGUACCAAACUUCUUCAUCACAGCGAACUCGAACUAGAGCAAUAUGGAACACUAUAAAAGAUGAAAAUGCAAAAGAAUAAAAAAAAAGUUGGAGAGAGAGCUCUGUUUUUAAAACAAAAUAACAAGAGAGUUAUUUAUAGAUGCUGGCCAAGGGUGAUUGUAGAAAUUGGAAACAAAUGUUAAAUUCCAUUUAAUUAUCUUCACAUUUAUCAAAGUACCACAUUCACGUACAUACAUGUAUUUUCGAUAAGAAAACUCCAAAUUCAUGUAUUAACAAUUACGUACAUAAAUACUUAAUUCCUAAGUACAAGAAUCCUAGGUACAUGAAUCUUCAGGUACAUGAAUAAUAGAUAAUUAUCCUUGGAUUCUAUCAAGAGUGCCAUUAUGAGAACGAUUUUCUCAUUCACUCUACAAUGGAUUUUUCCAUUUUUCCAACAAUACAACCCAACUCAAUCUCAACUAUUCAUUUCAAAAUUUCAUGCCAAUGGGUACUCUUGCCAAUUGCCAACAACAGGAAAGAUCCGCAUCCCGGUGAUGGGUACUGAGAAUUUGGAACUAUCAUGGAAGUGACACUGAGUCACUUGACAAGUUAGUCCCCCAAAGUUGAACAGUGAUCUUGUGUGAAUGAGCCACAAGAACUGGUGGAAGAUUUUGUUUUGUACCAGAAGUUUUGGUAGAUUGCUCCAACAAGCGCUUGGUUGAGGCGUGACGACCCAACUGCAAUGAAGAAACAAAACUGGAAAGUUAUGGUUAUAAAUCAGCCAAGCUUCAAUACAACACAUCACAAUUCUACUUGGUUUCCCAUUUCCCUCCCAUAUUGUCAUAUUAUUGGUGCUCUAAAAGCUUGAUUAAUUUGCUUGUCCAGUACUGUUGACUUGUGCCCUUAUGGUUGGAUGAGAAUAAACUAUCAGUACAAUAAACCGACUAAGACUGGGCAUACCUAGAUUAACGGCUGUGAGCUAGUUUCGCUACUUCUUUAGGGUACGAAAUAAACACUGGGGUCACGGUUUUAUAUAGCCGUGUUUUUCCCGUGCAAAUUAAAGUGUCGGCCCAAAAGGAGGAAAAACAUAAGGAAUCAUUUGUGUGUUUUUUCCUAUAAACACACAAUGAUGCACUUGUAAUCACUGGAGAUUAAAUAGGAUUAUGCUCCCAAAUCUCAGUAAUUCAAACUCUGCAGAUAGUUUUGUCUCUCAAAAAUUGUUCAUCUUCUGAUAACCAUUUUGAUUUUUCAUACUUGCAAUCAAUCAAAACACACUAAUCAUGCUCCAAACUUUACAAAAGUCAACUCAUUGUUUAUCCUUCGACAUCGUCCUACAUUUCUGGAACCAGUUUUUUUUGGCUGCAUGUUUUGGACUCAUUCUACAGCACAGAUGCUCCAUGAGAUUCAUUAUUGCUUCUUUUAGCAUCAUGAACAAGGAGUAAAUGAUUAUGGACUAUGUGAGCUCUAGAAAAAUCAGGCUGACCCGUUUUUAUUCAAUGAUGAAUUUGAGAUAUAGUCCUACAAACAUCGAGGGAUGGAACACAAACCAGUUAACCACCCAUAAACGGGAGUUGAAUAUGGUGUCAAGUAAUUUUUUGAUAAGUUUAAAGACUUGAUUCGCUGGGUUGCGAGUGAUGGGGUUAGCCGUUGCAUUUCCAACAGUGAUAGUCUCAUUUAGAAUCCUAUUGCAUCAAGUGCGUGCCCGUUCUUCUGGAACCAAAUCACUUUCAAGUCCCACGAUUCAUGACAAGUCUUCUUCCUUAGUUUGAUUCCUUGCUAAUUUGACCUGAAUGCUUUAGUGACCAGGAAUUCCAUUUACAUUUUAUAUUGUAGUCCUACCAAAAUGUAUUGCAUAUUAGACUAAAACUAUAAACUUUUGUUUCCUAAAUGGACUUGGUAUGAAUCAGUAUUUCUCUAACGUGAUUCAUAACUAUAAAUUUGCAAUUUUGUGACAAGUGGUUAAAAAUAUGAAAAAUGAUAGUAUUCAAGGCUAUGUAAAUCUGAUCUUAAACCUACAUGUUUCCAAGCUAAUAGAGACAUUAGUCAAGUAACGUGAGAUUCCUGAUUCAACUUGUAAAUUCUCCUUAAUUUCAAGGUUUAGAAUCUCCAUUUAAACCAAUGUAUUAUAUAUUUUACACACAUAUGUAUGUAUGGGUCUAGGGAGGAAAUGGGGCUUUUUAUAUAUUUUACAUAUAUAAUUUCAAGGUUUAGAAUCUCCAUAAAUUUUACUAUAGAUAUAUGUAUAUAUGUAUAUGUAUAUAUAAGUAUAUGUACGUAUAAAGUUAUGAUAGGUUUAGGUUGGUUGGAAAUGGGGCUCUACAAUUGACUUCUAGUCCAUUUCAAUCUAAUUAAUAUAUGAUAUAAACUCCUACAAUUUUGGGUACGAGUUGAUGAAUUUCAUGAUUACACUAAAAUUAUAUAAGUUUCCACCAAAUGUGGUAAUACUUAUAUCAACUGGACAGAAUUGGGUAGAAUUGAAUUGGAGAAACACGAAUCCAGGUUGGUUUCCACAAACAGGCUCCUAGUGAUAUUCUAAUUACCUUUCAGCGCCUUUAAAUACUGAGCCCUUGAGCCUAUCUCACUUCACCGCUAUCCUUCAAUUAAAGAUGACAAUGCUUUUUCUCUUAUUGCUCCUUUUUUCAAUCCUUAUAUCCAUAGGUAAAAAGCACAAGAAACUCAGAAAUAUCCGUCAACCACCAGGUCCUCCAGGGCUCCCAUUCAUUGGGAACUUGCACCAAUUCGACAGUGAAAAGGCUCAUGAAUUCCUAAGCCAACUCUCCAAGAAAUAUGGCCCCCUCAUGUCAUUACAGCUUGGUUCAGUUGCAGUACUAGUUAUUUCUUCAGCAAGAAUGGCAAAACAGGCCCUGGCAACCCAUGAUCUUGUGUUCUCCGGCCGGCCAGCUUCUGUUGGGCGGCAAAAGCUGUCAUACAAUCGAAGGGAUAUUGCAUUCUCACCUUACAGUGACUACUGGAGGGAAAUGAGGAAGAUUUGUGUCCUCCAACUCUUUAGCCUUAAAAGAGUACAAUCUUUUCGUCCCAUUCGUGAAGAUGAAAUUUCGAGCAUGAUUCAAAAGAUCGUAAAUCUCUCAUCUUCAUCACAACUAGUUGAUUUAAGGACCAUAAUAAUGUCCUUGACGAGCACUAUAAUAUGUAGAGUUGCCUUUGGAAAGAGGUACGAUGAGGAAGGGCACCAGAGAAAGCGAUUCGAUAAACUUUUACAAGAAUCCCAGGCCAUGAUUGGGGGUUUCUUCAUCUCAGAUUAUUUUCCUUCAUUCAGUUGGGUAGAUAAAUUUUCUGGGAUUAUUGAACGUCUUGAGAAGAAUUUCAAUGAGCUGGAUUUAUUCUACCAAGAGUUGAUACAGGAGCAUCUCAAUCCAAACAGACCACAAAGCAUGAAGGAUGAUUUGCUCGAUCUCUUAAUUCAGCUAAAAGAAGAACAAUCAUCAAUUAUAGGCCUAUCUUGGGAUCACAUAAAGGCAAUUCUCAUGGUAGUAUAUCCCUAUUUUCAAGAUAAUCAAUUGUUGAAUUUCCUCUUCUUUCUUUCUUUUUUCAUCUUCUUUAACAAGCAUAUUGGUACAUGGUUUUCUCAACAUAAAUCGAGUAAACUGAAAGUUUUUUUUUUUUUUUUUUGCGUUAAAAUAGUUGAUAUGGUCCUUAAUAAUAAUUGUUUACCCUUUUAUCACAGGAUAUAUUUAUUGCUGGGACGGAUACAGCUGCAGCAGCAAUUAUUUGGGCAAUGACAGCCCUGAUGAAGAGCCCUUCUGCAUUAAAGAAAAUACAAGCAGAUGUGAGAAAAUUGGUCAGAGAAAAAGGAAGAGUAGAUGAAGAAGAUAUUCAGGAGCUUCCUUAUCUAAAAGCAGUGAUAAAAGAAACUCUAAGAUUAUACCCUCCAGCUCCACUUCUAGGGCCAAGAGAAACUACACAAGAAUGCACAAUCGAAGGCUAUGAAAUUAAGUGCAAAACAUUAGUUUUCAUUAAUGCAUGGACUAUUGGAAGAGAUCCUGAAUGUUGGAAAAGUCCAGAUGAUUUUAUGCCAGAAAGAUUUUUGAAUAGUAAUAUUGAUUUUCGUGGACAAGAUUUUGAAAUGAUCCCAUUUGGAGCUGGACGUAGGGGCUGCCCUGGAUUUUCUCUAGGACUCGCAACAGUGGAACUUGCACUGGCAAAUCUUCUGUAUCAUUUUGAUUGGAAAUUGCCUUUUGGGAUGAAAGCAGAAGACGUAGAUACUGAAGUUAUGCCGGGACUAACCAUGCACCCGAAAAAUGCUCUUUCCCUCUUUGCCAAGAAAUAUGGGUAAAAAUAAAUAGUGAUAUGGAAAAAUAAAUAACUAGCGCAACGGAUAUUCUGUCCCACACCCUAUGCCACUCUCUGCCCCACUUUUUAUUAUACUGCUAUUUCUCCUUCAUAAACAUCAUGUUUUAAUUCUUUUUUAUUUUCUUAAGAUCCAAUAACUAUUAAUUGAGUAAUACACAAAAUUUAACAAACUCAAAAAAUCAAAAUGCAUAAAAAAUGAGAUUUUUUAUGAAUUUUCUGCUGUAUUUUUUAAUUUUCUAUUAUAUAUUGCUUUUUUGAAUCUGUUAUUUGCAAGAGUAGUUAGGAAUUCCAUACCUUUAGGAGGUUUCUAUUAUUAUUUUUAUUACUUUUAUUUGAUUUUUAUAGUAUAGAUUUAAUUUUUAACAUUUAUGAUAGUCUAAAUAAUAAAAGAUUUCGAAAAUCAUCAGUAAUUGACAAUCUUCCCUGUGGGAAAGACACCUAAUACCCCUAUGCUCAAUAAACGAUUCGUAUACUUGCGAAAAAUUGCGUAUGGGGUAUUUAGGAUAUUAUAAAUGUAAAACUUAACUGUAGAAUGAGUUAAUUGAUAUAUGUAUACCCUGCACUCAUCAGCUAAUAUUGAAAUGCAAUAAAUCUAAUUAUGAGGAAGAAAGGUGUUUUGGGCAAAUAGAAAAUAAAAACCAGAUCCUGUUUAGUCUCUAAUGCUUAACAUUUUAUCUUGUCAUCAACCAUUAUUUUCCAUUAAAUCAAUAGCUAUGACAUAAUGAAUUUUAAUCAUCAUAAUAAAUUAAAAACUAAAAAUGCAUAAUAUAAAACUUCAAUCAUCAAUUAAUAAAGGCAUAAUUGGAUUAAUAAAAAUUAAGAUCACAAUAAUGCUUACACUUACAGUCCAAAGUACCAAAUUCAUGUUACAUUUUAUAUAUAGUAAUAAUAAUAAUGAACCAUUAUUUUCUCCUAAAUCAAUAGAUGUUAUAUAAUGAAUUUUAAUCAUGAUAAUAAAUUUAAAAGAGCAUAAUAUGAAACUUCAAUCAUCAAUUAAUAAGGGCAUAAUUGAAAUAACAAAAACUAAGAUCACAAUAAUGCUUACAUUUACACUCUAAAGUACCAAGACUCGUAAUACUUUUUAUAUAGUAAUGCUUCCUCAAUAUGAAGUUAUAUGCACCAUUUUUUGAAAAAAUGAAGAUAUAUACAUAUAUAUAGCCUUUGAAGUUGAACUCUUUGUAUUAUUUUGUGUGGUAUUUCUAUUAACAAUGGAGUAUAAAUCAUCUAGCACAUAUUAAUUUUUUCUAUCUAACUGUUCAUUUUUUGAGAAUUGAAAUUUUAUUGGUAGAGAUAAUAGAGUUUUUCUUCUUUUUUCUUUUGUUUUUUCAUCUUUUAAUUUUUUGGACAAAAUUUGACAAAAAGCGUAAAUGACGAAGAUUCUGUUAUCCUAAGAGCACCUUCUUUUGAUAUCAAUAGUAAUAUUUUUGAAGAUUUAAAAAUUUAAUUAGGCUGUGACUAGUCAAGAAUUUUUAAUGAAAAUAAAAAAUUGAAAAUAGAAUGCAAAAAGACACAUUGAUUUGGAAUAUUAUAUUUUUUAUUGUCUUUAUAAUUCAAAUUUAAUUAAGGUUACAGUUUUUUCGUAACUGCUACAGUUAUUGCUAUUAUUGAAAUGCAAUAAAUCUAAUUAUUAGGAAGAAUAGUAUUUUGGACGAAUAGAAAACAAAGACCCGAUCUUGCGUAGUCUCUCUUAACAUUUUGUCUCGUCAUCAACCAUUAUUUUCGUUUAAAUCAAUGAUGUAAUGAAUUUAAAUCAUCAUAAUAAAGUAAAAACUAAAAAGAGCAAAAUAUGAAACAUCAAUCAUCAAUUAACAAGGGCAUAAUUAUAUUAAUAAAAACUAAUAUCACAACAAUCAUCAUAAAAAAUUAAAGAGAGUAUAAUAUGAAGCUUCAAUCAUCAAUUAAUAAGGUUAUAAUUGGAACAACAAAAACUAAGAUAACUUACCCAUACAGUCCAAACUCAUGGUACCUUUUAUAUAAUAUAAUAUAUAUAGUAUGAAGAGAUGUAUAUUUUUAAAAGGGUUAUUAUCGCUUUACCCCCUUAAACUAUAUCACUACUAUCAGUUUACCCCCUAACGUUAUCUUUUAGUCACUUCACUCUCAUAAGUAUUUCAACUCAACAUGUUAAGAAGUUUUGGAUAAAAAUACCCUUUUAUUCUAUAGCAUUACUACACUGUUAUUAUUAUUUUAUUCCUUUAAAUUAUAGUGAUAUAAUUGAUUUAAUUCCUAACAUUAUUUUUUUGCACUUUACUUCAUCAUUAAUUUAACUAUUAUGGUCAAAAAAUUUUAAAUAUAUUUACCCUUAUAUAUAUAAUUAAAAAUAAAAAUUUAGAAUAACUAUUCUUUUUUCACUUUAAGAGAUCCAAAAAUAUAAAAAUAAAAGGGUUUUCUCAACUUUCUCUUUUCACACUUAUUAAUACUAUGAAAAGAAAAAUAGAUAGGAAAGAAGGAGAUAGAAAAUUAGAUAUUGCAAAGAAAAAAAAUCUAACAUUAUCAUAUUAAUUUAAGAUUGUUGGGAUUAGGAUUGAAAUCUGGUGGUAAACAGUAAAGUGAAAUAAUUUUAAAAUAAUAAAAGUAUUUAAUUCUUUCCUCUUUAUAUUUUCUGAAAAAAGAAUUGAUCUCUCUCUCUCUCUCAAUCUUUCUCUCCCCUCUCCCUCCCCCUUCCGAUCUUUCUAUUUUUUUAAUAUUAAUAAGAUUGCCAAAAAGAAAAAAAAUUAAUAUUUUGACUUUUUUUUGUGAUACUAAAGAGGAGAAUAUCAACUUUAAAUUUUUUAUUAUUUUUAUUAUACAAAGAGGAGGGUACUUUCUUCUAAAGUUUUUUAACUUGCUAAAUUGGUUUAAUGGUGGGAUAAAUUGCCUAAAAAAUAACUCUAUGGAAAAAAUUGAUAAUGAGACUAUAGUUUAUGGGGAUAAAACAAUAAUAAUUUUAGGGCUAAACUUGUCUUUUUACUUUAAUUAACAAACUCCAUUAAGUUUGACCGUUAGUCUUGGGAUAAAGUGACUAAAAGAUAAUGUUAAGGGGAAAAACUGAUAGUAACACCGAACGUUAAGGGAGUAAAGUGAUAAUAACCCUUUUUAAAAUUGAACUCUUUGUAUUAUUUUGUGUGUUUUUCUAUAUCAUUUAGGCCAUAAUCUAUAUCAUUUAGAAGUCUUCGGUCAAGAAAUAUUGAUGAAUUAAUGGUUGGUCUAAUUGCCUUGUCUCUUGGGCACUUGGGUUGUCGUCCGGUUGUAGAUUCAGGCAAAACAUAUGGAUACGACUUCAGAAUUACUAAGAAAUGAAGUAACAUAUUUUUUAACAUUAAACACAUAUAAUUUUCUUAGACAUUUUUCCUUUCCCCUUUGAACAACCAUAUAUUGUCACUAACAUCCCCUUCAUUCUCUAAAGUUCAAAAGAAUCAUUUUUACAACUUUAUCAGGAACUCUAUACUGCAAAUUUGUAGUUUCUGGUUACUCAAGAUCGGUGCCAACCUGUUUUGAUACCGACAAAUUCAUUAUUUCAGCAUUACAUGCCCCUAAACUCUCAACAAAUCCACUGGCAUAUUUAUUGAUAUUUUCCACUACAACUACCCCACCAUGAUGGACUACUUUUACAGUUUUACCUGUCAUUGGAGAUGUACAAUCUAGGACCACGAAAGCAACAAGGCCAAACAAUUGGUAAACAAACAGUCACAUGCCGUGGACCACAAAUAAUAAUUCAUAUUUAAGUCAAUGAAGGGCUACUUUUACCUGUUACAAACAUUAGACAUGUACAACCCAGGACUCUUAAAAAAUAGGACCAUGAAAACACAACCUUGUCAUACUUAAAGUUAAACAUAUUGAUAUUUCUAGUUACUUCUUUUGUUUUUUCUUUUUUUAUGACAAAUAAAUUAUGAUAAUGCCACUGAAAUUAUUUGAUUUUUAAUUAGAUAUAUGAACAAUUUUUUUUUCGAGUUGGAUGACCUAAAUUUGCUCGGUAAGCAAAAAUUAAUAAUUAUCUGCUAACCAUUAGGGUUCGCCCAGUGGCCAAAAGAAACCUAUUCAUGGUACUUGUUAUAUAAUAAUAAUAAUGAUGAAUUGUUAUUUUCUUCUAAAUCAAUAGAUAUGAUAUAAUGAAUUUUAAUCAUCAUAAUAAAUUAAAAAGAGCAUAAUAUGAAAUUUCAAUCAUCAAUUAACAAGGGUAUAAUUGAAAAAACAAAAACUAAGAUCACAAUGAUGCUUACACUUACAUUCCCAAGUAUCAAGACUCAUGAUACUUUUUAUAUAGUAAUGAUGAUUGGCACUAUUACAUAUCAACUCCAAGUUCAAAUUCUGGUAGAGAGAUUCUGUUUUGGGUCUCCCCCAGAUUUGGAUUGGAUAGGAAUAUUAAUUUUGUCUUACGCAAAUGUUGAUUCAUUUCAAUUGGAUACGAUUGCGGUCUUGAUAAACAACAAGCAUUUGAAUUCCAUCAGCUUCACAAUCUCACGCAAAGCAUUAUAAGAUAAAUUUGGCUAAUAAUAAUAGAUGUGCUUAAUAACACCUGACUACUUAUUUGCAUCAAUAUACUGAACUUGCAUUCAAUCAUAGAAUAAUAUACUUUCUGAUACGGUAAUGUACUUGUUAAAAUCUAGUUGAUUGAGUAUAAUAAAUUCAUCACUCAAUCAAUUCGUUUCGAUCUUAAUGCAUCCAAGAAUUGGAACUACCAAUGGAUUCAGACAAAACUAUGUCUGGAUUAAAUAGAUUGAAAUAGGUUCUCGAAAACGAAAUCUACUUUUUCAUCUUAUAUGGGAUUUUUAGCUGGCAAAAUAGUGCGUGAAGUUAGCAUCAAAUAAAGUUAAGUUAACCAUGUUCUUAACCACCAUUUUGGUUCAACGAUCUGAAUCAAGGAGUUGAUUAGUCAACAUAUUGUAAAUGGGAGGGUUUAAACCUGGACCAUCCAACCCAGUGAACAGGCAAAUUUAAUUGGCAUUAAUCAUACUUAACUAUCAUUUAAGGAGCAGAUUGGCUUCUACCACAUGCAAUAUAUGGUAUAUCUUUAGCUCCAUCUGUAAUGCUUGCAUCCCACUCAAUGCGUCUUUGUCUUUUGAUAAAUUAUAUCAAUUUCAUUUUGAUUAAUAACCUCACACAAACCAUUAGCAAAAGAAGAAAAAAGGAUAAUCAUCAUGCUUUAGGUAUCUCAUUAGUACUCAAUCGUUGUAAUUAUUGGUCUAAUUCUUGGUCGUACUUCAAUUACUUUAGGAAAGGGGAAAUUGCAACAACAACGCGAAAUAACUUAGCGAAGAUAUAUCAUUUUCAGCUUUUCAUUUUUUGACGGGCAAAUUGCAAAUAUAUCCCUGAAGUACUUCACAUUUCAUUUUAGUUCCCAGAGAUCAAAAUAAUACAACUUUGUGUUCAAGUCUUUAUAAGUUUACCGAAGUAGCCCUACAGUAUUCCUCAAGCUUUUCUUCUGAUUUUCAAGCACAAACAUUUACUUGUCAUACCUGCACUCAAGAGUAACAUAUGCAAAAUCAAACUAAAAAUCAUAUCUAUCCAACAAAAAGUAAAGUAGUUUGUCUUCUCAACUGUUUUUUGUCCAUUUUAGAAGAGAUUAUAAACUUACAAAGGGCAAGGAAUUAAACAGUGAAAGGGAAGACAUAAAAAUCGAAUUAAAGGCCUCAUUUUCUCUGGUCAAUGUUGCUACCAAUUGAGUUGGAUUUUUAAAAUGUUUGUCUUCUAAAGUUUGAUUCCUAUCGAUAUCUCAAUCUUUGUAUGUUGAUCAUUUAUGACUUUGUAACUUAAUAUGAAAAAGGGCAAAAUACACUUUAUUCCUCUGUGGUACAAAUAUUUUUUUACAUAAGCCUCCCUAUAGUUUUGAAAGUUAUAUAUAAUUCCCUCAUGGUUUGGAUUAAAGUAUCAAAGUAACGGAAAUGAUCAUUUACAAUGAAACUUAUGAAAAUAUAAAAAUUACCCUUAUUUAAAAAUUAAAAUAAUUGAAGUGAUCAAAAUAUAUAAACAUAAUAUCAUAACACUCUAACCUUGUAUGGUUUUAUACUUUUCCUAUCGCGCCCCAUUUUUUGAAAUAAAAAAUUACGAGUUAUAAAAAAUGAAUAUUUGAUUAAUUUUUAGUGAAAAUGAGUUUUUGAUUUUUAGAAAAUAAAUAAAGAAAAAGGACCUAAAAUGGGACCUAAGAAGUGUGACGAUUUUAAUCCAAAAUAAUAGUCUAUAAAGGAUUUUUAGGAAAAAUAGGAGUCACCACUUAGUAUUGAGUUAAGGUGUACCAAGUCAUCCAAAAAUAUGUUAUUUAAUAGUAAUAAUAAAAUAAAUAAAUAAACAAAACCCUUUUUUCGAUGACUCCAGGUUUUUGGAAACAAAAGAAAGGGUUCGGGAGUCACGAUUGAAGAAAUAAAAGACAAGCAUAAAAUUCAAGGCACCCUUUCGAACUAACUAAAGUUAGUUGCGAGAUUUAGUCGCAAAGUUUUCCUAAUCUAACCUAUAGACUUAUCACAUUGGGAUGUUUCUACAUGGAUGCACACCUAGACCUAAUGGAAAUCGGGAGGGUCGAAAUAUCUCUUCAAAGAUUAAUUGGUGCGAAUAACAUUAAUUGUGAUGUUCAAAAUGAUUUUUAGAAGAGAUCACGAAUAUGUAAAGAAUGAGACUCGAAAAAAAAUUAUAAUAUAUAAGUAUGCAUGACCUAAAAAGAGGAAUGCAACAUAACGGGUACGGGGGACUAACAUUCGUGACUCAAUUUUUCUUUUUAUAAAGGAGAUACUAGCAUGCUAAAUCUAAGAAGCCAUACUCAUCCAUUUCCCAUAUUAGAAGGGUGCUCCCUAACCUAAUCAAGCAAAUGCACUAACCUAUUUCUAAUUUUUCUUAAAUGGAAUGCAAGUCUAAAAUGUCAUGUUUCGCAAGAGGGAUAAGGGAUAUACAUAUAGAGGAAAUAUCUUGCAGAGUGGUAAAGAUCCUAAAAGUAGAAAAUAUGCAUGAAAUAUAGUGAUUGUUACGCAAGCAUGUGAUUCUAGCGCGUGGACGGCCUAAAGGGUCUAGCAUUGAACUAGUGAGAAAUCGAGGAAAUAGACCACAAUUAGUGUUGGACUAGUGUGGUAACGCCAUGCAUUUAUUAUAACUAAAUAAAUUAUAUAAAAUAUAAUUAAAGCUAAUAAACACAUAGAGCACAUAACACGCAGGCAUGAUAUCUAGAUGCAAAAAUCCUAAGAAAUCGAGCAAACAUAUAAGCACACAAGCAUCCAAGCAAAUAAAAGUAAAUAAAAGUCUAACUAUUACAUUUGGGGCCCUAAUUACAAUCUAAGGGGGAAUUUAAAAAAUAAUAACCUAACUAUUAUAUUUAUCUAACUAAAUACAUUUUUAACAAAAAUUAAAACCUAUCUAUUACAUAGGCUAACUAAAUACAUAUCUUGAGCACCUAUCUAUUACAAUUUGGCAUUUUAAUGCCUCUCAAAUAAUUACCAAAAAUUAAAUAAAAUAAAUGAAACCUUAAAUGAAUAAUAAUGAAUAAAAAGAAAAACCACUCAAAACAUGCAAUUGCACAUAAAACACAUUGGAGCACAUAAAAGAAUUGAAAAUAAUAAAAGAAGUUACCUCCCUUGAAAUUGUGGUUAAAUGGGGGUGAAAUUUGCCCUACUUGUACUCCAAAAUCAACAAAAUGGUCAAGGCACCAAUUUAAUUAUAAAGAAAUGAAAAUAAUCAUAAAAUCUACCAAUUAAAUCAUUUAAAUGAAGUAUAAUUAACAAUUAAAGAAGAAAAGUAACUUGUAUUUAAGAAAUCAAAACUAUUAGGGAUCUAAUUGAAAAAUAUUUAUAAAGUUUUGGGGUAAAUUUCUAAUUAUUAAAAAUAUAGUGGUCCAAAUUAAAGAAAAAUAAAGUUUAGGAACCUAUUUGAAAUUAAAUUAGAGACCUAAUUGAAAAAUGUUAAAAGUUUAUGGGGUAUAGUAUAAUUACUCAAAGGUCUAGAGACUGAUUUGCAAUUUCAUAACUAGAUUUCUUGAGUAAAUAGGCCUCUGGGCCAUUUCUCUUAUUUUUCGGGCCAAAACCUUCAAAGCCCAGCAAAAAGUUCAAGGAAAAUGCACAGGCCAAUCCAUAAUCUUACCCAAACAAAACCAACCAAAAGGGGUGGGCUUUUACCUCCUAAGCCCCAACCACAACCCAAAAAAUGAACCAGACUUUUCUACCAAAACCCAACCCAAUCAAACCAUAACCCAAAUCACUAACUAUUUUACCAAAAUCCAAUAAGAUAAUAAAUCAACUAAAACAAAUUAAGGUUAAAUUAUACCCCAAAUCACAGAAAUAACAUGCUUAGACAUGCACUUAAAGUAUGAAAAAGAGUAUUAAAACUCAAUAGGGACAAGAUUGGUUCAAUUACAGAGACUUUUGGGCCAUAGUGUAAUUUCUUAGAAAUUCAGGGGUUAAAAUGAAAUUGUUAAAAGUUUUGCAUGCAAAGCUUCGAAGAAGCUUUCUUCUGCAACCGAAAGCUUUCUUUCUGCAACUGCCGAAACUUAUUCAACCCAAGAAGACAGCCACAACAUUCAUGCCAAAUUCACAGAAUCAUCAACUAAACCCAAUAAGAACCACAUCCCCACAAACAAACCACAGAACAACAUGGGAUUAAUUGCUCAAAAUCUCCCACUUCAGAUUUGCAGAUAGAAAGGAAAACAGACCACUUUCACUCAUUGAUUCCGAACAAAACCCCGAAGCAUAACUUUGUUAUGAACUACAAAGCUUGCAAAGAUAAUGAAGGACAAACAUUCACAUUAACUUCCAAAUCUUGUCAUAUUUUAGUCAAACCAGAGGUAUCAGACCCAGCAAAAACAUUUAACCCGCACUAUAAACUCAUAAUCUUAAAAAAAGUUCUCUUUGAUGAGUAAAAGAUCUUUUUUUUUUUCUUUGUGGAUUGCAGCAAGCAAAGGAAAGAUUAAGAGUUACCUCCAGAUGCUAGUGCAGUCAAAUGAACGCGAGGUGCUCCAAAAAAGUCGUGUGGAUUCCUGGAACGAAAACAGGAGCACUUUGCCGCAGAAAUUUCAGCCUUGGCGAGCAGGCUGUUUUGAGCCGAAAUUACAGAGAUCUGGAAAUGUUUUUUCAAGAUGUUUUCUGAACAAAAGUUAUAAAUUUACCAACAUAGUGAGUGCAGAAACUAAAAUAGAAGUUAGGGAACUCCAUGUAAAAGAAUUUCAAAGUAUGACACUGUAGUACUUGAAGCACAAAUUCUAUCCUACGUAUGUAAGACUUGCUUCACUUUAGUCCUUAAAAUAUAAGACUGGGCCAGCUGGAGUCAACCGAAUAGGCCUGAAAAAUUUAGAGUCGAGCACUGUAGAUUAUUGGAUUGGAAUUAACUUUGACUCCAAUAUAAGACCUAAUUUAAUUACGAAUCGAACUUGAACUUAAUUAGGCUCAAUUCAAUUGAAGUUCACCCAAAAAUUUAGUAUACAAAAUAUAUGUUUUAUAUAUUUUUAUUUGUAAUUAUGUAUAUUAUUGUAUAACUAUGACUAUUAUAAUCUAUAUAUAUUAUAAUUUUUGUAAUCAUAAAAUAUUAUAUGAACAUUAUGGGCUUGUUCUUGUUGAUUAUUUUAGCUGGUUAUAGACUUUGAUUUUAGAUAGUUAGUUUUUUAUUUUUUGUUUGCAUUUAUAUUUAAUUUAUAUAUUUUGAAUAGCUAAAAAUAUUAUAUUCAAUAUAUGUAUCAAAGAGUAGCUUUUUGUUGAUUUUCAUUAAACAUUAUAAUAGUUCUCAUAAUCAGAUUUUACAAAAUCUAAAACAAAUGACAACAAAACAUAUGCAUAACUAUAAAUUCAUCGUGAACUUAGGUUGAGCACGAAUUAGGCCUAAAGUCCUAAUAUCUUUGUAAUCUGGGUAUGAGCCUCACAUUGUGAGUUUAAAGUCCAAAAGCAAGAAAUUUUACCUUUUUGUGAGUUCAGUUUGGGCUUGUUGAAACUUGACUCACAUGUCUAGCACAACCCUACUAAAGUAUAUUUUUUUUCUUUUUUUUUUCCUUUUUUUUUCUUUUUUCUUUUUUUUUUCAGACGGAGGGGGUAUCCGUGUUGCGGCCUGACUAAUCCCUCCCAGCCCAAAAGGAGAGGCCUCUUCCCCUCAGGCACGAUAACCCUGGGACUCGAUCCCUGGUAGGGAAAUGGACAACGGACGCUGAGGAGCUUCCGUGACCAAACGAGCUAGCCAAGUGAGGCCCUACUAAAGUAUACAAACGGUCUCUUUUUACAUAUUGUUUAAUGUAGUUUAAUGUUUUAGAUAAAAUACACAAAUACAUAAUAAAUUAGAUAAUCAAAUACUACUUUUUUGAGUUUUUAACCAUUUUUUCAUAUAAUUAUUAUAAAUAAUUCAUUUAUUAUUAUUAUUUUAUAUUAGAUUCCCGUGCAUAGCACUGGUCAAAAUACAAGUAAUAGUACUAUUAAUAGUAAUAGUGAUGGUAAUAUUAGUCUUUUUUAAUAGUAAUGAUGCUAAAAAAACAUAUAAAAAAGGUUCCCUUAUGGGCACCCACAAGGGAAGCAGGGUGGAGUGAGGCAAGGGGAGGGAGUUAUAUGACAGCAGAGCAGGCUUUGAAACGCAUCUGGUUGCCAUCCUAAAAUGUAGGUUUGCAAACAUGGUGGCUGCUUUAGAAAGUUUGGCAACAAGCCAACAACUUGAUAGUUUGAUUGUUAUUUAGUUCUCCAUCAUAGGUUUGCUCCCAAUUAUAGUGUCCAUCAAAUAAACAGCUGCUUGUUUGUUUCUUUCCUGGAUGGUAUGAUGAUGAGUUUCCUCCAUCUGUCAUGUUUCUGCAAAAUAGAAUUAGUUAGUCUAUUUUUUAUUUUUUAGAAAAAGAUAGGAGGGCAUUAGGAUCAAGAAGUUGGGGUAUUAUACCCUCAGUGGUGGUUAUGUAAGGAACUAGUUGGUUGAUAAAGGAUACUCUUAAAAUGACAUUAUCGGUUAAUUUUUUGGCUAGGAAAAAGGUGUCUGUGAUAGAUAAGGAAGAGAAUUGGAUAUAUAUAUAUAUAUAUGAGAGUAGUUAUUUUAAUCAGAAUUGUUUCUCACUCCUAUGUGGCGUACUUAAUUAAGAAAAUUAAUGAGUUAUAGGUCACUUGAAUUUUACCUAUAUUGAAUCUUAUUUGGAUUGUAUUAUAUGUUUAAAAAUUAUCUCUAAUUUAAAAUAACUUUAAAAAAUAACUAAUCUUAUCUUAAUAAUUUCUGCUUUUAUCAAAUUAUUACAUAGAAUUAUAGUAAAAUCUUUUGCAAAUCACAAUUAUUGAAAAUUUAUAUACUACCUUGCACCACCAUAUCAUUGAUUAGUAUUCAAAUCAUUUAUCAUCUUUUCCCUUAUUGUUAUUACCUUAUAAAAUACAAAAUUUUAUUAUCUAAAAAAUAUUUAUAAAAUAAAUAAUAUCCACCAAGUUUUUAAUAUGGGAUACAUUAUUCGAUGUAUACUAUUAUAUUACGAUGAAAGUAUGUAAACAAAUUUUUAAAAAUUAGUAAAUAAUUGAACAUUUAGAAUACAUUAAUUUUUAAAGUUAAUAUGAAUGAAUAUGUAGGAUUGUGGUUAAUUUUUGUAUUUAAAUUAUUCAUAUUUGUAUAAAUUCACAAUAAAUAUAUAUAAAAAAGACCGUGCUAAGACACAGACAAAAUUCUAGUUAUGUAAUAAGUAAGAAGAAUAAUCAAUUGCAAAGUACGAUGUGUUUCAUUUCGGUCUAACCACCUCCCUGAAUUUUGGUGAUUAACCCUAAUUUUAAACAUGUACUACUUUCCUAUUUAUUAUUAAGAAUCCCAACUGCAUACUCUUUGGAUUUUUAUACAAUAGUUUGAUUGGAAAUAAUUUGUACAGCACUGACCUAAUGCAUCUUCCAUGACUUCACCUAUCGAAAGUCGAAGGUUUUGCAUCACAUUUUGCUUAAACAAUUUAUCUAAAACAUAUCCUUCGAAUUGAGGACAUUAGACUAAACCAUAGAGAUAAGGUGAAGGUUUUUUUUUUCUUUUUUUUUUUUUUUUUUGCGAUUUUCCUUACAGGAGUAGGGUGAAUUUGCUCACAUGUCCUCCAGCUCUUAUGAACAUUUUGCUUUGUUUUCAACUUAUACUUUCUUCAAUUUCGAUCUUGAGUAAUGAUUUUCAAUUUAGUUCUGGCAGUUUAGUUUCUUGACAAAUCAACCAUGUAUUGAGCCAUGAGUUUCAUAAAAUUAUCAAACUUAUAAUGUAUAAGCUCUGUGAAGAAAAGACGGCAUUACAUGAUUACAUCACUAGUAAUUGAAUGGGAUAUAUACAGUCUAGUGGUUAAGGGGCUAUGUUUUCGAAGGCACUGAAGAUGAUUCAAUCUGAAAUUUUGCCACAUCACUUUGGCUAAUUCAUUUGAUUUUUUCAGUUACUUAUAGUUGUCAACUUGUCAUUCUAUAAAAGAAAUAUAUUUUCAAAAUAUAAGAUGGUAAAUAGAAACCACAGUUUCUUAAUUAAUAUAGCCACUAUUUAAUAAGAAGUGCUUUUUUAUUUUUUAUUUUUUUCCCAAUGGAGAUUUUAAACCUCACAAGAAGAAGAAAGAGGAGGAAAUGAUUGACAAUCAAUCAAAGAUCUUGCAAUUGACUAGUUUUUUUUUUUAAAAAAAAAAAAUUAACUAGUAAGUAGUAGUAUAUAACAUGGCUGAACUGUCUGGGUCAGGAAAAUUCGACGCUGAACAUAUCCACCAUUAUCCAAGUACGGCCCAUUUUAACUUGGGCUUAAUUUUUUGGACCCCCAUAUCAGACCAAGCCAAUCUAUGUAGAUGGCUUGGACCUAGUUCCGUAUAUUCAAAGGACCAUCUCUUACUAAAUAUAGGAUAAAUUACUUAUUACCCUCAAUGCAGAUUUACAUAAUACUAGAUGAACCUCUUAAAGUUUUAAAAUGGUCAUAUAACCCUCGUGGUUUUAUGUAAAUUGUAAAGUAGAAAAUAAACAGAAUGUACAACCAAUUUCAGCAUUUAUACCAAACACAUUUUAAAAGAACAUGUGAUGAAGUCUUAAUAUCCAUAUAACACUCUUAUAAUUUGUAUAAAUUUUCAUUUUAAUCUCUUGUAAUUUUUAUAUUUAUCCACAUAAUUUUCCUAUACUUUUAUACAAGGUUUUAGGGGAGGGGGGAGGAAGGAGAGGAGGAAGAUGGAGGAGAGAAAGAGAGAGGGGGAGAAAGAAAAGAAAGGAGAAAAAAAAAAGAAGAGUCAUCGGGCCUUGAUGCUAGCGCCGGUGGAGUGGCGGUCGGUAGCGGCUAUUGGUGGAGGUGGUGGUAGAAUGAGUUGUGGGGAGGUAGAAGAAGAAAGAAGGGAAAAAUUUUUUAUAUGUGUUUGGGCAUUUGCGGUAUGCAUUUUAAAAAAAGUUUGUAGAGUUUUUUGAGAUAAUUGUAAUUAAAGUUAUUAAAAAAACUCGUAAUCAAAAAACUUAGGUUCCAUACAGACCCUUGAAUAUAAUUAUAUGACUAGAAGCAAGUCACAAAAGAAACUAAACACAGGAAGGGAAGAAAAAAAAAGGAAGUUCCACAGCAAAGAAAACAUGGUCCCAAGUAUUUAGAUGCCAGAACUUGACACUUGCUGCGCAUACACAUUUUUUGCGACAAGUAGCAGAUCAUUUUUCUUUAGCAUUGUAAGACCCGGUAAAACUUCAGUAUCAAUGUCUUCUUUCUUGAUCCCAGAAGGCAAUUCCCAGUCAAAAGAAUACAGAAGAUUGGCAAGUCCAACUUCCACCAUUGCUAGUCCCAGAGAAUAUCCAGGGCAGCCCCUUCGCCCAGCCCCAAAU
rnacentral:lncRNA from 1 species